rnacentral:lncRNA from 1 species
ACCAGCCACCUGUUCUAGAACUUCCAAUUCUUUGCCAUUCUAUGAGUCACUUCAUUUUAAUGUAUGACAUCGUCACCCUCUUUGGCAGUAUCCACUAAUUUGAAUCUCAAUUUUAAAGCCAUAUUUCGAGUCGAACAUUUUUGGGAUACCGCUAAUAACCAACUAAUGGAAAGUGCUCUUCCUUGUGUGGAUCUUAUUUCAUUGGGAACUAGAUGAGUCGAUCCACCUACACAUCUUGAUUUUACUGUUAUAUCGGGAGUUACUCCAUGUAUUCCUUAACAUAAUAGGGCUAACAUAAUGGGGGUAGUGGAUUUUUUUGUCUUUUUUUAAAUCUUUUUCACGGAUCCUUAAUUAGCCCAAGUACAAGUCUAAUCUUUUUUCUUUAGUAAAAGAGAAUAAAGCCAAAAAAAUCUUUUUUUCGAAUAGUCUCAAUGUCCUCAUUGAGAGUCAUUCUUCGAGAUGUCUUGUAAUCUCUGACUUUGUCUUUGAAUACUAAGUCUCAUCCCCUUCUCAGCUUACCUUUCUCUCAAGUUGGACUUUCUACUUGACUAAGUAGUAUUCCACUCGUACAGUGGGUGUAUGGGCUAGCGCAUGGUGUGGUCAGCUGUGAUGUACUCAACUUAUUCUUACAGAGUCACAUUACUAGUCACUAUCUAUCCAGUUUUAAUGCUAUUAACAGAUUCACAGCAUUUACACGUAUAACAAAUCACAAAAUUGUCAAAAAUUUUAAAAGGGGUAUCAUUUUCACAAUCAAAUUUAGUACAAUCAUUCAGAACACGUCAAUGACCUUAGUUACAUAUUUUCUUCCUAAUUUAACAUCACAUAAAACAUAACAAAACAAAACAUACACACACAUUUAAAUUAACUAGAUAUACAGCAUUCAAACUACAAUCGACAGAAAAAGAAAUAUGGCAACAACAAUCCAUGGUGGCUAAACCGUACACCCCCACCCUCAACUAAAUACCUAUGUAAUAUCCCAAAUGCAUGUAUAAAGUAAAAAUAAGGAGUAAAAACAUACCUAGGCAUACUAGGCGCCAGCUCAAGUAGUAUCAGUAUAUAAGGCCUUAGUAUGGGCCACACUCUCAUCAUCAGUGGCCCUAGUGGUGACUGGGGUGCAUAACUCAGUGGUAACACUGGUGGUGGCUGGUGUGCUCAGUGUCAACUUAGGCAACGGAGCUGUACUACAGUUCAAAUCAAUAGCAUCUGCAAGUUGAGAACAACAAGCCCCCACCACCAUCUCUCGAGCCCUCACUUGAUGGUCCCACUCACUUUGAAUGUUGGAUACUUUUAUAGCCUUAAUAUCAUUCUUCUCUACACUCUUUUUUCUUUCUUUCUUUCUCACCAGCACCAACAUCACCCGCUAUGGGGGUUGAAUAUAUAAUACCCUAAAUAUUUGGUACCUCUUUCUUAUACUUGAUCUCUUCGAUAAUAGGAUUUGAGAGGACCGAUCUAUGUUUUAACUACUCAAUUGCCUUCUACGAUGCUGCUAACUCAAUCUGUAUACCUACUAAGUCUAGGGAUUGGAUACUCUCAAGCUUUUGGUGGAUGCACUGCUUAAACCCAUCAAAUUGGGUCUACAUCAUGCUUAUCUCGUCUUUUAUUUGCAUUUCUACCAUGGCUUAUCUCCUUCUUCCAUAAGUCUCACAUUUACCUCAAUCGUACUCAACCUUUGCUUCAUUUUAACCAAGAAUGACUGUGACACCAAAACAUAGUCGGUGAGGACUAUUCUGGAAGUUGAUGGAUUUAGUGUUGUAGCGAGUAGUGGGGUUAUAGGCUGAGAGUUCCCUGCUAUAUUUAAAGCCUGAGGCUCAGACUAAGUCAUCUCAGUAAUGGAAUCACCCAUUUUAGUAAAACCUGUUGUGUCAGUACCGUGCUCUUUGGCCUCAUAUGCCUGGCUAACUAUUGUUUCACCCAUCAUUAUUGCCUUAGAUAGGGGUUGGAAUCAUCAUAGAUCAAACAUAAAUCUAUAGUAGUAUGCGGCCUGAUAAACUUAUCAACAUAUAGGAGGUCUGGUCCUCCCACAUCCAGGCAAAUUUAAUCCACCAAGUAAGAAAAGUCCAUGACUUUGUUAGUACUCAUCGCUCUACCUCUAAUCUCUCUAGCUAUCCAUUUGGCUACAUCUAUCUCGUAGCCUUCCAUAAUGCAUGUGACCAGGAAUUCAUUAUCAGGACUCAAUAUAUUAUCCCCUAAAUUGGGACUCAAUUUUUGUCAUACUAGGGUCCACCACGCCUUUACCUACAAAUUUAGAGUAUUCUUUAUGAUUGAUGAUGAGGUGCUAAUAUCUCCAAUUACCUAGGAGCCUCAUCCCAGUUUGACAUAAUCAUUUUGGCCAUCCAUCGGUAAUAAAUAAGUUUAUUGUCCAUCCCAAUAUACUUCAGCUUCACAUCUCACAUCUCAUCAAUGUGGAGGUCUAUCUCAGUCGUAUUGGUUAGAGGUAAGAAAUUUGUCCCAUUCAGAACUCUACAAUUAUUCUUAGCUGAGAUGUUCUCCCGAGCACCUUAAACUACCAAAUCUGACAAUAGGUCUGUACCCUUCCAUAGUUUCCCUUGAGGAUUUAAUCUCUUUAGCUAUAUUUGGUACACAACCUAAAACUCAUGCACUAAAGUUGCAUUAUAUUUUCCCAAUGCUCUUUUCUUCCAGUCAAAGUUGUAUUGUCUAAAUGGGGCAUCAAAUAUAGGUAUCUCAGGCAUGACUAUUUUUGCCAGCUUCCUCUCUAAAUAAAUUCAUCUAUGGGGUUUUCCAUUGGUAGGGUUUAUGGCAGUAUUUUUGUCAUAUAGAGCCUAUAUUCUGGGGCACCCCUACCAUUUUAUGAUGGGCACUAAAUUAAUCUUAAUAGAAAGUGGGGUGAGAGGUACUCAUGGUGGCUGAAUCUCAACUGGUGUAUUGUUCUCCUCACUCCUACUCACAUCUCCAAAUUCAGUCUUGUCUUCAUCAUCAUCCCUAUUAUCGUUGUUUUGUUUCCUGAGAGCUAGAUUCACCCUAACUUGCAUCAUCAUCAUCUUCUUCUUCUUCAUCAUUAUUAUCACCAUCCUCCUCAGACUAUGGCGAUGAGUGAGGUAGUAAGGUGCUAGGGUUCUUUAUUCUCGGCAUAGUCCUGGGUGGUAUGGCCUCCUCCAAGGUUGCUUUCCCACCCUGAGACCACUUAUCCCUUGGCUCUACCUACCUAUCCAAUAGAUAUUCCUUGACUGAGCCACUUGAAUCAUCAGUAUCCUUAUUCAUUAGCUAAUGAUUAGUUUUUGGGGCAGGAUUUUUCGGAGUUUGCUUUUUUGUUGAUUGCUUCCUCCAUGAAUUAAAUUUUGGAGCCAUUAGUAUCUAUUGAAGCAAACCAAUUAAUAAGUUCUAGGAAAAUAAAGAAAAACAAGAAAAUUUGGUGUCAGUGUAGCAAGCACUGGACACCUUAUGACUCAAGGGUACGAGUCGUACCCUCCAGUUAUGAGUCAUUAGGAGAUUCAUAGGUUGGAAGGGUACGUAAUCAGUAAUUUACUGGUCAGGUAAUGAGUCCUCCUAACAAUUCAUAUGUUAGACUACAGCUCGUUACCAACACUUGUUCGCUGACUAGAAACACUCUCCUGAUGCAAUACCCUUCCCUGUCAUUAUGACUCCUCAUCACGAGUUAUACAGUCAGACUAUGACUCAUGACCUUGAGUCGUGAUGUCGUAAUGACUCGUGAAGUUACCCUACGAGUCGUUAUGAGUCCUAUAGCCACUGUAACAUAUUUGUUUAUAGGAAUUGAUCCAGAUAUACCUUCCCAACACAACAUUACACAUUACAACAAUCAUCAACAAUUCCUACUUCAUACCUAAUCAACAAUUUAGGGAACAAAGUUCAUGUUUACUCCCGUUAUCACUUAAUUACAAAUUACUCAACAAUAGGGAUUAAUUAUUUUUAAGCACAAAUAUUUCAAUCAAAAAACUCAAACAAUUCUUGCAUAUUUGAGUUCCACUUUUGUAUAUAGAAAUUUAUGCACGAAAUACUUAUUUGUUCACUUGACUUGGAUUUCUUAAGAACUUAACCUUAACGAUUUAGUUCCCUGACCAUUGAUAUUUUCAACUUUAGGAGAUUUUGCUUAGUUGAUUGCAAUUUUGAGGGAUUAAAUUGGAGUGUUCUUAUGUCUGGUUAGUCAAUAAAGCGAAUAGAGGGAGUCACAAGGUUUGAAAAUGGGAAUUUUAAUCAUUUGGGUUGAAUUCCCAUAUGUAAAUUAAUAAAAUCUGACCAGGUCAACCCGAUAUGCCUGCGAUGUCAGGCCUGGUCAUGGGUCUUAACUACGACUCAUUACGUAUAGAUAUGGGUCAUAGACUCCCUCCGUAGUGAAACAAAACUUACCUGAGUCUCUAGUUACCACGACUAAAGGUGAAAAGUUGUAGUGACUGACUACGACUUGUUCUGAGAGUCAUGAUGACUCCGGAGACGAAAUUCAUGAGAUAUGUCCAAGAUCCAUGUACCUACGACUCUUGUUCAUGAUUCGUGUGGUUUGAUUAUGACUUGUGAGGUAAGUCAUAUGGCCUGGCAUCAGAAAAUUUUCUAGCUUAUUCCUGCAAUCUCCAAUCCUACACACUAAACACAAAAGUUGACCAAUAAUCAAAUAAGUACAAAUCAUGGGUUCCCUCCCAUGUAGAGCUUGAUUUCACAUCACGGCAUGACAUAUCUAGCUGGAUUUCUUAAGAACUUAUCCUCAACAAUUUUGGGCCUUAACCCUUGAGAUUUUCAACUUUAGGAGAUUUUGCUUAGUUGAUUGCAAUUUUUAAGGAUGAAAUUGGAGUGUUCUUACAUUGGGUUAGUUAAUAAGGGGAAUAGAGGGAGUCACAAGGUUUGAAAAAUGGGAAUUUCAAUCAUUUAGAAUGAAUUCUCAUAUGUAAAUCGAUUAAAUCUGACCGGAUUGACCCGAUAGGCCCGUGAUGUUAACUAUGAUUCAUUAUUUAAGGAUAUAGGUUGUAGAAUCCCUUCUUAGUCAAAGAAAACUUACCUAAGUCUCCAGUUACCAUGACUAAAGGUGAUGAGUUGUAGUGACUGACUACAACUUGUUCUGAGAGUUGUGAUGACUCCAGAAACCAAAUUCAUGAGAUAUGACCAAGCUCCAAGUCCCUAUGAAUCUUGGUCAUGUCAAGAGGUUUGAUUACGACUUGUGAGCUAAGUAGUAUGGCUUGGCACCAAAAACUUUCUAGCUUAUUCCUGCCAUCUCCCAUCCUACACACUAAAUACACAAGUUACCCUAUAAUCAAAUAAGUUCAAUACAUGGGUUCCCUCCCAUAUUGAGCUUAAUUUAACAUCGCGGCAUGACAUGUCUAGUCCUUUACCCUUUGAAUGUUCACCUUGAAUAGGGAUUGACAUGACACGACCUGGGGCUUUGUCAUAAUAGGCGUCCCAAGUCCGAUCAGGAUCGGAGACCACCCCCAUUACCCAACCCAAUCUCCAAUCGUUUGCCCUGAGUUAACUGAAUUUUGAACAUAUAACAAGAUAGUGUGAACUAUCCAAAUUACAGACUCUUGGAUAGAUCUAUUAUAGAGACCGACCCAACCGAGUACAACCGUCCAAACCCAACCAAUACCCAAACCAACAAAACCAUAACCAUUUGAAUUCCAUAAUAAUUAUAUAUAAUUCAAAAAUACAAGAGGAUGAAAAGUUAGAAAUUUAGUCCUACCAUAUCAUCCCCAAUAUAAAUGCCAAUACCAAGUCUAACACCAAUAUCGAUUCUGCCGAUAACAACCCAUAGUAGUUCCAUAAAAGCCUCUAACUUAAAGAAUACCAAAAUCCUGUUAGGACAUGCCCCCAACCAAAGCUAAAACCAAUAUCCAUAAAUAAACCAAAGUAUGAAAUAACAUCUAUGAAAUGGAGACUUCCAGAAAGAUGAAAGCACACCUCUUUAAUCCAGUAGCUAAUCUCGAAUGUCUGAUAGAUAUGAAGGAGGAGUAGAAUGGUUCCUUCCUACAUCGUGUGGGGAUAUAGUCGCCUAAAGAUGGGUUAGCCGGUGAAUGCUAGCAUGAACUCUGGAUAAGGAUAAAAUAAUGUCAACCAGGAAAAUCAAGUAAGCCAACCAUAGGCAUAUAAACCACACGCAUAAAUAUAUUUAACCAUGUCAGGAAAGGAAAUCAGGUUUAACAUGCAUUGAAAACCAUUUACUUGGGUAUAUAAAGGUUAAUAGUCCUUAACCAACCAUGGGAUAUAUGUGUAAUGCCCUGAAUCUGGUACCCAAAAUGCUACACGGUGCCCAUGAUCCCGAAGGACCUCAAGCUAACCCAUGACUAAUAUCUGUAAACUGAGCAAUGAAUAAUAGUAAUAAUAACAUAAAUAUGGAAACAUGAACUGAAAGGCCAUAAGGUUCAAUAAUAGUACCUAACUAAAAAAUAUGGUAUAAAAAUACUAAAACAACUGAGAUAAUUAUCUGAACAUACUGUAGUUUGAAAGCCUCUAAACUGUCUGAAUAAAGAGUUGAUAGGACAUGUCUCCAACUAACUCCAACUACUGAAAUAAACUAAAAAUUGAAAUAGUAAUGUGAUUAUCAUGUCCUCAAAGGAUGAGGACUCACUGCUACCUCUGAUCGUUGAACUGGGAUGCUACUACUUCUUUGGAGCUCGUGCUUCUAAACCUAUGGUAUAAGACACCUUAGGACAAAUGUGUCAGUACUUUGAAUAUACUGGAAUGCAAGUGAGGUAGGCUGAAUGCAAUAGGUUCAUAAGCAUUAAUAAUACUAACUGACUGACUUACAUGAACCUGAUAAUAUAUGCAUGCAUACGUAACUAUAACUGACAGCGUGAUAGGAUUGAAUGUUAAGUUCUGACUACUAAGUUUAUUUAUAACAUGGAAGUACUAAUAUCGAGGGACUGAUACUAUGUUACUGAUACAUGAAUAACUAUUUCUAAUAGUUAUGAUUAUGAAGAACUGGUCUGGUUGACUGUGUCUAACAGUCCUGAAGCUAAAUACUAAUAACAUGAGUUCUAAUAACUAAUAUAACUAAUAACAUGAGUGACUGUAUUUGAUAGUCUUGAAUGUGAUAGAACUAGCUAAGUUCCAUAUUGUAUCUGAGUAACUAAAAUUGAGAUCUGUCCUAUCUGGCGAGAGAUCACUAAAUCUGAUGACACCGUUACUGAUUGACCAUAAUUAAGAUCAGUUCUGUCUAGUGGGUGAUCCCGGAGUCUAUUUAUAAUGAAAAGGAUUGACUGUAUCUGACAGUCCUAAAUAUAUACUACUGAGUUGAAUUGACUAUAUCUGAAAGUCCUGAUUCUGUAACUAAAACUGUGGGAUGUAUUCAUCUAACCAACAUGCCCCAUACUAAGCUAACAGGGGUCCAACCUGUAACCCCAGCUGGAAGGGUGUCAGUACCACACCACUUGUAAAGACAACUACUUUGGAGUUAGUCCUAUCUAGCGGUUGAACCCUGGGAUUAGUCCUAUACAUUUAAAUGCGCUAACAGGUGAUCCCUAAGUAUACCAGUCCUAUCUAACGGGUGACAUCUCGUAUCUACGCUGGCUACGUAGUUAUAGAAGUUAUGGAUUGCUUAUAGGGAUCUCAAUCCUAUCUAGCGGGUGAGUCCCCAUCCCUAGGCUCGCUCGGUGCUGAAUCCUACUCCCAUUAUAAAGACACUGAAUUGAUUAACUGAACUGAGCUGAUAAACUAAACUGAACUGAUACUAGUGGCAUUAUCUAGUGGAGCUAAACUGAAUUUACUGAGUUCUGUUGACUUUCAGAAUAUACUGAGUUUUGAGGACAGACUGAGAAUACUAAAGUUACUGAGAUUGACUUAGAAUACUGAGGUUACUGAGAUUACUGAGUACUGAGAUCACUGAGAUUACUGAACUACUGAGAUUAUUGAGAUUUCUGAGAUUUCCUGAGUCAUAUGACUGACUGAUUCCAUGGAUCAUAGCUUGAAUGAGUAGAUCGUGAAAACAUGACAUGGCUCUAGGCACACAGCUAAAUGUUCAGGUAUAAGUACCCCAGGAAUCGAUGAGAAUAAACUGACAUGGCAUAGCUUACUUGAACACAUGACCAACAACACAAUUCAUAAUUUAUAUAUUGAAGCACUUCAUCAAACAUGUGAUAUGCAUAAGCUUGUACAUACAUGGGGAUUUUAUGAUAUCAUACUAGUUGGCAUUGUUCCUUCAUCUAGGAAUUUAAUCAUACACAUGAUAGGCAUAGCACAUGUAGACACAUUAUAAAACAAUCAAAUAUCAUUAUUCAUAUCUAAUUUCAUCGUCUAGGUUUUAUUCAAAGGUUCACAUGAAUAUAAAUCUAUGCAAAUUAAUUCCACAUAAAAUUGAUCACUUAACAUGGAUUUGAAUUCAACUAAUCAUUCUCAACAUAAACAAAACAAACCCAACAUAAAAUUCAUAAAGAAAUCCAUAGACUUAAACUUAGAAAAGAGAUUCUUGGGCUUUAUGGAUGAAUGGAGUCCAUGAAUGAACACUAUGCAUACCUUAGCUUGUGAUUCUAUGAAGAUUGACGGAGAGAUUUUUGAAAUUUGACGGUGAAUUCCCUUGGAAUUGAACCUUCUAUGAAAACCCUAGGGCUUGUUCUUGAGAGUUUUGAGCAUAAGUUGCUGAAUUAUGGCCAAAUCUCGUGUUAUACGGCUUAUUUAGGGUGGGAAAUUGACCCUUUUAAGCCUAAGGCACGUAUUUAAUUUCUGAGAAAAUUUUCCAAUUUUCAUCCUUGGCGCGACAUGCCACUAUCACGCUAAGUCACUGAAAAGUGACAAAUGGAAAAUUGCACGGUGGCGCGACGUGGAGCUAUCGCGUUUCCACCUUGUCUAUGACCUGGAAGUUUGGUGCGACGCACCAUUAUCAUGGAGCAACACUGGAAAUUGACAACUUCCAUUUGAGCUAUCUCCGUGAUGCGCUGAAGGCUCAGAUGAUACACUGUCUCACUAAAAAGUCUCUAACUUUUCACCCGGGUGUCGGAUUUGGGCGAAUUUGGUAUCGAUGAAAAGCUUAUUUGAUUCCCCACAUGAUAAAAAGUGAAAUCUUGAAAAUACCACGUGUACAAAAGUAGAUUCAUCUUUCAAAGAAAGCUUCUAACAUUCUUGGGGAAACUUUUCAAGCUAGGAAAAGUAUGAGGUAUUACAAUAUGGGUCCAGUGUAACUGCCUAAACAGGCCCUUAUGUGUGUAGCCGCAUGAACCAGAGAUACUAUUAGAGUAGGGUAUUUCCAAGUACCCUUACUCUUCAUGAUACAUAUGUACAGUGUACUUAGAGGAUUCCCAUAUACCUCAUACUAUCAUAUAAGGUCACCAUGACCUACCCCUCAUGUAGGAAAACAUGAGUUUCCAUUGUUCGUUCAUUCAACUCCCACCUUCACGAUUAGCAAUCACACCCUGCCAUUAUUGCCCAAUUAAAACCAUUUCCAACCAACCAAACCAUUAUUAUUAACCUAGGCUUUAAAUAGUGGUAUCGUCAUACCGACUAUAACUUCCAAAUAUUGUCCCUAGCCAAACCUUAUAGAGAUCAAGGGAGUCCCAUGUACCCAUAGAUCACAUUACCAAUUAACUUAGGAAAGUCCCAAAUACCCGACAAGUGUUCUAUUAUUAUGAUUACUUGGGGGAUUCCAUUGUACCCUACAAGAAUAAUUGUUAAACUAAAACUUCCAUUUUGACCAUUCCAAAUCAUUUAACCAUUUGGGGUUCCAUUACCAUGGUUAAACCAUGUAUAAGUUCCAUUAAAAUCCAACAAUGUAGGGAANNNNNNNNNNNNNNAUUUUAUCAAACAUAUUGGGGCAUAGUAUUUCCAAAACCAAAGCCAAUUACCAAAUAACCAUUCCCAUACAACCAAUUAUCCAAAACCACCAUUAAAGAAAAUAAAAUCAUAAUUAAAACAUAGGAAAACCAUAACCAAGCAUUUAUAACCAAAACCCCCCAAAUUACUUUUGAAAAUCCAAAACCAUACAAUAAUCAAACAAUGAAAACUUAGCAUAAAACCAUGCCUUUAGUUAAAACUAACAAUAAGGGAAGAGAACAUGCCUUAAACCUAGAAUAUGAUGGAGAAAAAUCACCAACACAAGCCCUAAAAUAAUCCUUAAGAUGAAACCCUAUACUUCUUUUACCCAAAAGCCUUAAAGAGAACUAUAGUGUGUUUAAGAGAAGUUUCUAAAUGUUGAUGAAUAGAAUAAUAGAGAAAAUAACCUCCCAAUAGGAAUAUAAAUCAUUGUGCCUUAUUAGGUUAAGUGGGGAAAUAUGCAGAUUACCCUCACUUCAACUCCAAAAAACCCCAUCGGUUGGGUACGACUAUCCAUACAAAUGUACCCUCUAAUACGAGUGGUACCCACCACUCGUACAUAAGGACAUAUACCAUGAACCUAAUACUGUCCAAGGUACUACUCAUCCUACACCAUGUCAUAUCCAAGCAUACGUCUAGUACCCAUGAUCCGUACCCCUAGCAGAAUAGAAUCCCAAUAGAAUGGAACACUGCCCACCAUACGAGUCUAUUAAAAGACUCAUACCCUGGCUCACGGCUAUUAGUGAGACACUCAUACUCAGAUCCAACUUAAGUUACCAAGCCUAAGAUUAAAUGAAAUAACCAAACAACUCGUGUCCACUGAUAUGAUUCAUACCAUCCAAGUCAUAUCCAUUUCAAAACCCAAAUCCAACCCGUUAAACAACAUUAGUCAACAUACGACUAACUCAUACCACUCUUAUCCCAGUGUACGAUUUGUUUCCCCUAGUUGUAUCCUAUUUAGAGACCAAAAAACCAGCAAAUUUUCUAAGUCCAAGAAACCCAGGGUAUUUCAGGGCUUCACUAUCACACUUCAUCUUUAUAGCCCUAUAUAGAAACACCCUUACCAAGGUGAAUGGUCCAUACUAUCUAGACUUUAACUUUCCAGGAAACAAACAAAAACUAGAAUUAAACAGCAAUACUAGAUAACCAGGCUCAAACACUCUUUUUAAGAUUUUUCAAUCAUGAUACAGCUUCAUCUUCUCCUUAUACAAAGUAGAGCUCUGAUAAUUCUAAAGUCUAAACUUAUCCAACUCAUUUACCUUGUUCAUUCUCAACUUUGAUGCACCAUGCCACUCAAAAUUUAGCUUUAUCAGCACCCAUAGUACCUUGUUCUCAAGUUCAAUAGGCAAGCAGCAUGCUUUUCCAUACACAAGUUGAUAAAGAGAGCUAUCUAUGGGUGUCUUAUAAUUUAUCCGGUAGGCCCACAAUGCAUUAUCCAACUUUCUCGACCAAUCAAUCCUAUUGGCAUUCACAGUCUUCGUCAAUAUAGACUUAAUCUCUCAAUUGGAGACCUCAACUUGUUCACUAGUCUAGAGAUGGUAAGGUUCUCCCACCUUAUGCUUCAAACUUUUUCAUGCAAAAUCUUGAAAAGACGAUUAUAGAAAUGUGACCCGGCAUUACUAAUUAUUGUACGCAGAGUGCCAAACUAAGAAAAGAUAUGUUUCUUUAGAAAGAGAUGACACUUCUACCUUUAUUAUUAGGGAGCGCUACCAGUUCCAUCCAUUUGGACACAUAUUCUACCACAACCAAAAUAUAUUUCAUACCAUAGGAGCUUACAAGUGGAUUCAUAAAGUCAAUCCCCCAUACAUCAAACAACUCUAACUUAUAAUUAGGGGUCAAGUAGAGUUCAUGGUGUCGUGAUAUAUUUUUGUGACAUUGACAUUGGUCAUAGGCCAGUGCAAAAUCAUGAGCAUCCUUGUAGACUGUAAGCCAGUAAUACCCACAUUGUAAGAUUUUAUGAGAUAUACGGGUUCCUCCAUGGUGACCCCUAAUAGGUACAGCAUGAAAAGCCCCAUGAAUACUUAUCAUCUCCAUCUCCGGGAUGUAUCUACAAAUCAUACGUUUCAUAUAAGUCAUGAAUAGAUAAGGCUCAUCCCAGAAAAACCUCCUUACCUCAUGCAUAAACCUCUUACACUAUUAGAAGGACAAGUCUUCUGGGAAAACAUCAUUUGCUAAGAAAAUGGAAAAGAAAAUUAGAGGAUUAGGUCUUGUGAUCCUACAAAAAUCUACUCAUCUGAAAAGGUAUCAUCAAUUUUAAGUCCAUCUCCCAUUUUUUUGUUUUCUUUAUAUUCAAGUUUGAACAAGUGAUCUACAACUUGAUUUUUUGUCCCUUUCUAGUCCUUCACCUCUAAAUCAAACUCUUAUAGCAAGAAACCUAAUGAACUAGUACCGGCUUUGCAUCUUUUUUCAUCAUUAGGUAUCUUAAGGCUGCAUGAUCUGUAUGAACAAUGACUUUAGUCCAAAUCAGGUGGGAUAAAAAAUUUUCAAAGACAAAAACCAUUGCUAGAAACUAUUGCUCAAUAAUAGAAUAGUUUUUUUGAGCAGGGUUUAAUGCCUUACUGGUAUAGUAAAUUGGGUAAAGAAUCUUUUCACGCCUAUGGCCAAGGACAGCACCUAAGGCCACACCACUCGUAUCACUCAUAAUCUCAAAUAGCAAGGACCAGUCAGGGGACACAAUGAUUGGAGUUGACACCAACCAACCUUCAGGCACUCAAAAGCCUUUAUUCAUAUAUCAACAAAGUCAAAAUUUACCUCGUUAUACGAAAGCCGACAAAGAAGAUUUCCAAUAUUUGAAAAAUCCUUGAUGAAUCGCCUGUAGAACCCAGCAUGACCCAAAAAAAUUUGAAUCCCCUUCACUGAGAUUAGAGAAGGUAAUUUUUUAAUCACUUCAAUUUUUACCUUAUCCACCUCUAUUCCACUCUUUAAGAUUUUUUGUUGAAGCACAAUGCCUUCUUUCACCAUGAAAUAACACUUUUCCUAAUUUAGCACCAGAUUACAUUACUCAAAUCUAUGAUGAGCAUUGGCUAAGUGGAAAAAAUAUUCAUCAAAAGAAUCACCAACCACAGAAAAAUCAUCCAUAAUUACCUCAAUGGUGUUUUCUACUAUGUUAGAGAAUAUUGACAUCAUGCAGCACUGAAAGGUUGCGGGAGCGUUGCACAACCUAAAUGGCAUUCUCUUGAAUUCAAAAGUCCUAUAAGGGAAAGUAAAAGUUGUCUUUUUUUUAUCUUCAGGAGCAAUGGUGAUCUGAUUGUAAUCUGAAUACCUAUCAAGAAAACAAUACCAACCCCUUCUUGCUAACAUGUCAUGCAUCUGAUCCAUAAAUGGCAUGGGAAAAUGGUCCUUCUAAGUCUAUGUAUUCAGCUUUCUAUAGUCCAUGCACACUCUCCACCCUGUGACUGGUCUCAUUGGUAGGACUUUAUUUUCCUAAUUCAUCACUAUGAUAAUUAUGCCUUUCUUUAGGAUACAUUGAACAAGAUUGACCCACUUGCUAUCUACAAUGAGGUAAACUACACAGCGUCCAACCACUUGAUAAUUUCUUUCUUUACCACCUCCCAUAAAAAAGGAAUUAGCUUAUAUUAAUCUUCAAUACAAGGAAUGCAUUUUGAUUCAAGAUUAAUCUUGUGAGUACAAAUGCUAGGCAGAAUACCCAUAAUAUCUAUAAUUGUCCAUCCUAUAGCUCUUUUGAACCUAUGCAACACCGAUAACAACACCUCUACCUUUUUUUCCACUAAGUCAGCUGCAAUAAUCAUUAGCAAGGUAUAGUCGGCUCCUGUGAAUGCAUAGAAAAAGUGAGAUGAGAGGGUCUUUAUCUCUAAAACUGGUGGCUCUUCAAUAGACAGUCGAGCAGAAGGAGUGGUUCUAUUUUCCAGAUCCAAAGCAAGCUUCUUUGGAGCAUAAGUGUAAGAACCUCAACCAUACAUAGCACCAAUUAUCUCAUCAUAUUUCUCUAUACCAUCUCUAUCAAAAUUCAUAAUCACCACUGUUAAUGCCUCAACUCAAAGUCUCUCUCCAAUGGACACAGCAAUAUCAUUAGCAAUAUCAUCAAUGGUGCCUAUCACAGAAGCAGCCCGUAUAGCAUUAGGUUGCUUUAUCAACUAGAACACAUUGAAGAUCACUUUCUCAUCGUUCAAUCUAAAAUUUAUCUAUCCCAAUUCCAUAUCAAUAAAUAGCAAACCCUUAGUUAGUAAGGGUCUACCUAUGAUAGGGACUUAAAAGUCUACCUCACAGUCAAGAAUAAUGAAAUCAAACAAAAAUAUAAAGCAUAGAAUGCAACUGUCACCAACACAUCACAAAAAAUAAAAACUAGUUAUUUCACCAUGCGGUCAACUAUCAACAAUCUCAAUAAUGUUGGUUUGGGUGCCCUCAAUCCCAACUGCUUAUAAAAUACUAGCGGUAUCAGAUUAAUGUUGGCUCCCAAAUCACAUAAAGCCCAAGCAAAGUUAAAGGACCCAAUAGUGCAUGGAAUAUUGAAGGCUCAUGGGUUCUCUUUAUUAUCUACUAACGAUCUAGAAGCAACAGCACUAAAAUAGGGCACAUUGUCAGUGGGUUAAAAAAUCACCCACCACUUCCUAGUGAAAAAAUAUUUUAUGAACUUUUUGUAGCCAGUCAUUUGCUCUAAUGCCUCAACGGGGGAAUAUUGAUAUAUAGUUCCUUCAACAUUGAUAGAAACUUUUGAUAUUUCUUAUUUCUUUUUCAACCUUUGGGGAAAAGGUGAGGGAGGCCUUAGAAUAGUCUUCAACAUCGGCUCAUCAACCUUUCCCUUGCCUUUAUCCUUAUCACAAGUAUGUUUAACACCUGUUGAUUUUAUAGAUCCUGCUAUAGGUGUCUUAGUAACAUCAAUCUCAUCACCAUCAUUUCUUUUUUUCACAGUUAACAUCGAGGGGAUCUAUGGCAUUUUACCACUAUGAGUGGCAAUGGAAAGACAAUGACUAUUGUUUUUUAGAUUUUGUACUUGUAUUACUGAGAAGAGUGUCAGGCUAUCUCUGAUUCAAAAUAGACAAUCUUUGGCCAAACUACUACUCCAGUUGUUUUAUCAUAGUGACAUACGACUCAACUUUCUGAAUCAACCCUGAAUGUUCAUUUUAAUCUCCUUCAGGUAGCUUUCAUGACUCACUUAGCCUUUCACCAGCUUUGACAACAUUGAUUCUAUUAUUGACUUGAUAUCUCAACUGACUGACGGAAUGUAUUUUUCACUCUUCUCUUUAUAGUCAUCUUCACACUGCCAAUCACUAUCUUGCUCUCUGAUUCUAUCAUAGCUUAUCUCCAUAAUAGUCCUGACCUUAGUUUCCUUUUAUUUAACUUAGAACCCUUUUAUUUCUCAAUCUAGAUACUUUACUUUCUCAUCCAUAUCAGAGUCAUAAACUCUGGAAGCAGACCCCUAUGCCUCCAUUGUGUUCACUUUUUUUAGUAUUCAUCACUAAAUUUAUUUUUUAAGCAACCCAAUAUCCAUUUUGAGCUGUGAAACUUCUUGUGCAACUAAAUUAUCAUCAACUCUGUAGUCACUAGUGUCUCCAAUGGAAUAUGUACCAGCACCACUAUCAACCUUCUGAGUAUGCCAUUCUUGGUUAGUGACAGAGAUCUCAUCUAGCUUUUCAUGCACCAUAUCCUAACAAAGAUGCAUAAGUACACCUCCAGAUACUGUGUCUUCCAGCACCCUAGAACUAAUAUUCAGGGAUCUAUAAAAUAUAUCCAUCAUAUUAGACCCUUGAAUUUGGUGAUUAGGUACCAUGCUUAACUUUUUUUUGAACCAAAAACAUACCUCAUACAUGGACUCGGCAGGCAACUGUUAGAAGUUGUAAAUCUCGUCUUUUAGCUAUAUCAUCCUAUUAGAAGGAAAGAGAUGGUUUAAAAACUAUCUAUGCAACUCAUUCAAAGUUUUGGUUGAGCCUUUAGGAUGUUCCCCCAACCAUAAUGAUGCUUCUUCGGCUAAUAAUAAUGGGAACAAUCUCAAUCUCAAUGCUUCCUGAUCCAUCCCUCAAAAUUGUAUAUGAAGUCCAGAUCCCAGUAAAAUUAGCAAGAUACAUGUUUGCAUCAUCUGUCGACUAUCCCAAAUAUACACCCUUUUAAAUUCAGUAGUUGGAUCAUUGCACUUGUAAUAUCAAACUUAAUAUUUGGGGGUAAAUUAAAAGGAAUAAUGUCUCUUAUCUCAGCAGGCUCAAUACAGCCCAUAUUAUCUUCUUCAUUAUAUAGUGGUAGAUACUGAUAAGUAAGGAUAACUCAAGCUCUGCAACCUCAUGCUAUAUCUUGAUCAUAAUCGAGUGUUGCUCAAUGAUCAAUUAUUAGUCUUGUCCUGGAUAGCUUUACCUAUUGACCCAACAAGGAUUCCUCAUCUAGCCUUCUCUAGUUAGCAGCUCUGCUAACAUCAACUCUAGUUGUCCAUCAUCAAUAUUCUAUGGAUAACUAAGAGCAGGAGGAGGUACAAUAUGAGAUUCAUCCCAAACUCUUUCUAAAUCAUAUUCCCGUACUUGUUUGCUCUUCAUACUAUUAGAUUGUAGUAGUCUUUCUGGUUUAGGAUUCAAUGGGAUCAAGGGAUUUUCUUGACUACUAUUUUUAUACAUACGCCAGAGUAUACCCAACUACGAACUGUCUUAUGAACGCAUUGAUAAAUCUCACCCUUCACCUUUUAAGUCCUUGACCUCAGUAAAACUAUCACCCUUUGCAUCUUAAGUUUCUUAGAUGAUGGUUGAUAGCUUCAAAUCACUGUUGUAAUCCCCUUUUCCUAAUAUCAAACUCCCUUGUGAGAAUGAUCUUGAAUACAGGCAAUUUCUAAUCUUUUGCAGUAUCUUAGAAGAUAAUUAAUACAACGAAGAUUACAAUACACAUAAUCAUAUCAAUAUAGAUAAAUAUCCCACUUUUCCUACAUUGUUAAUCUGUUAGGGUUGCCAAAACCCUAGUUAAAAAAUUUAGCAGCUCAUGGUCAGGCAAUGAUCCAUAAAAAUCAAUAAAGAAGACAUAGAAUUAAUUGCACAAGAAUAAAAUCCAAAAUCUCCAAUUGAUUAUGAAUUCAAAAACUCAAGAACAAAAAUAUCGAGUAUCAAGUAGCCAAUGUGUAUGAAAGAAAUAUCAAAAGUGAAUAACCCCGUAAAGGAAUAACCUACGGUGUUUAUAGUAUCUCAAAAUAAUUAAAAAAAAACUAAUUAAAAUAGAAUAGGAAAACUAAGUCAGUAAUGGCCAUGUCUCUAGCAAUGAGUCAUUAGGUCUAGUUACGACUCAUUGCCUGAUAUUGUAGCUCUCUUUAGGUUUUAGUGGUUACAACUUGUAGGAUCACCAUACGAGUUAUAUAUUAUUUCUUGUGGUCACUCCAGUAGCCACUCACCUUCAGGGCUUUUGAGUCUGUUAUCAUUAUGACUCCUCACCACGAGCCAUAGUCAAUCCUUAUGACUCUUGGUUUUCACUUGUUACCACUAGAGCAUCCACCCUCAGUACUUUACAUAAUGUUUAUAAUAUGACUACACACUAUGGGUCAUACUCUGCCCUUAUGACUCAUAGUAUUCCAUUACUUCUCUCCUUGACUUCAGCUUUGCCCACUAUUAAAACUACGAUUGCACACCACAACCUCAUAGUCACAACUUAUGAGUCGUGCUCAGUUUAUACUUAACAUCUUUAGCUUAUAUCUUUCCACUAUCUUCCUCAUAAGUCUGACUAUGAGUCAUAAGGUGAUUUAAUGACUCGUAGCCUAACCAGUACUUUAAUUUUUAGAGAAAUUUCUUUUAUUUUUCCUUUCAAACCACUUCUAACCUAAUUUACCUUCACUACAUACAAAACAUACAUCAUAUCUAAUGAAAUAAACUAAGUCAAUGCAUAAUUUCACUAUUUUAAGUAUCAAAUAUGCCAUAAAAUCACUGCACAUCAGUCAUUUAUAAGGUAGGUAGGGUAAUCACUAGGGAGGUCAUGGUAGAAAUCAUAGUGGUAAUAUAGGAAGAGUUAGUGUACAUCCUGCUAAAGAGGUUGCUCAACUUGAUUAUAGAGAUUAUUAUUAUGCCUUCCUAGGCAAGAUCAAAGUUGAGGCUUCUAAUAUUGUCAUUAUAAGUACUAUUCUUAUUUGUUAGUAGAUGGCUACUAUUUUAUUUGAUUUGGGUUCCACUUCUUCUUAUGUAUCUGUUAAAUUUUCCAUGGGAUUGGACUUUUUUAUGAUAUAUACGACUCUUCUUUAGAUGUGUUUACUUUAGUUGGAGACUCUGUGGUAGUGACUCAUGUGUAUCAUACAUGUUUUGUCUUAUUUAUGGGUUUCCAUACUUGGAUAAAUUUGAUAAUCUUGGAUAUGCUUGAUUUUUUCAUCAUCCCUGGUAGGACUUGAUCAUCUUUGUAUUAUAUAGUUUUAAUUUCUAAUACUAUGACCCUGACAUUAGAGAUGUCGGUGAUGGAUAAGUCAAAGUGGACAGGUUUGUAUAAGCUAAAACCUAUAAAAAUUAUAUCUUUUAUUUAUUCUAAGAAAUUAGUUAGGAAAGGGUGUUCAAUUUUACUAGCAUAUCUUUGGGAUGUUAGUAUAGAGUCCCCUUCCAUUGAGUCAGUUCCUAUGGUGUCAGAAUUUUAGAAGGUAUUUUUGACAAACUUACCUAGUGUGCCUUUGGAUCAGGACAUUGACUUUUUCUUUAAUUUGGAGUCGGGCACUCGCCCCAUUUCUACCCUCUCUAUCAAAUAUCUCUAACUGAGUUGAGGGAAUUCAAGGUACAAUUGUAGGAUUUUCUUGAUAAGGGAUUCAUCCUUUCUAGUUCUUUGCCUUGGUAUGAUCCAUUAUUAUUCGUUAAGGAAAAAUAUAGUGACUUGAGAAAGUGUAUUGAUUACAGAUAGUUGAAUAAGGUUAUCAUUUGAAAUAAGAUCCUUUCCCUGAAUAAAUUACUUUUUGACCAAGUAUAGGGCAAUUUCAUUUUCUCUGAGAUAGACUUAAGGUUAGGCUAUCAUAAAUUCAAGAUUCAGCCAAAUAAUAUACCCAAGACAACUUUCAAGACUCAAAAUAGAUAUUACAAGUUCUUGAUGAUGUCAUUUGGGUUUACUAAUGCAUCAAAAACCUUUGUGACUUUGACCAAUAGUAUUUUUAAAUCUUUCUUCGGUUUAUUGUUAUUAAUGAUAUUUUAGUUUACUACAAGAAUAAAGAGGAACAUACAGGUCAUUUUUGCAUCAUUUAGGGAGUUAGAAGGAAAAAUAAUUGUAUGAUAAGUUCUUUAAAUAUAAAUUUUUGUUAUCUUUUGUUGCCUUUUUGGGGCAUAUGGUUGUAGGAAAAGGGGUCAUGUUAGAUUUUGAAAAGAUUAAGGCUAUCAAAAGUUGGGUUCAGCCUAGCUCUAUGAUUGGGGUUAAAAGUUUUGUAAGUCUUGAUAGUUAUUUUCACAGGUUUGUCAUGAACUUUUCUUUCAUUGCAUAUCACUUUACAAGGUUAACCCAAAAAAGUGACAUUUGUAUGAUCUAAUAAGUGUGAAGAGAGCUUUCAAAAGCUAAAGUACUUUUUGAGCAUAACUCCCAUCCUUAACUUGCUAAUUGAAGGUUGGACUUCCUUGUGUUUUGAUGUUUUUUGUGUUGGUUUGUUGUUGUCGUAAUGUAUUAUAAGAAUGUCAUUUCUUAUUCUUCAAGGAAAUUGAAGCCUCAUAAGAAGAAUUAUUAGACCCAUGAUUUAGAGUUGGCAGUAACAAUCUUUGUAUAUGAAGAUUUGGAUGGGUUGUUGAUGGUGAAAGGGUGCAUAUGCAUGCCUUGGGUUGGUGACUUGAUUCAGGGUUUUCUUAUAGAUUCUUAUGGUUCUCGAUAAUCUAGUCAUUCUAUAUGUAACCAAAAUGUGUUUUGACUUAAGAUAGCUCUAUUGGUAGCCCAUAAUAAAGAGAUAUAGUAGAGUAUGUAUCUAAAUGUCAUUAUUGUUAGUAGGUGAAAUACGAGCCUCAUAGGCCUAUGAGUUUUCAUCAAAGGAUGCUCAUUUCUAAGUAAAAGUGAGAUAGGAUAUACAUGUACUUUAUAGUGGGUCUUCCUAAGAUCUUGGAGCAAAAUGACUUGAUUUGGGUCAUAGUGCAUAGACUAACAAAGUUAGCUCAUUUUCAUUCUAGUUAGAAUGGAUUACAAAUCAAAGCAGUUAACUAAGAAUUAUAUCAAGGAGAUAAUAAAUUUUUAUGGGGUGUUAAUUUUAAUUAUUUCUAAUAGAGGUACAUGUUCACCUCUAAGAUUUAGGAUAGGUUACACAAAGAGCUGGGUACCAAGCUUGAUUAUAGCACUGCCUUCCAUCCUCAGAAUAACAGGCAGUCAAAGAGAACUAUUUAUGCGGUUGAUAAUAUAUUAAACCAUAUGUGAUUGAAUUUAGUAGGCAUUAGGAUAAGUUUUUAUUUUUAUUUGAGUUUCAACCAAUAAUAGUUAAUACUUUAGCAUCAAAAUGGUUCUAUUUGAAUUGCUCCAUAGGAGGAGGUAUAGAUCACCCGUAGAAUGGUUUGACGUUGGCGAUUUGAAGCCUUUAUGAAUAUAAGUAGUGAAAGAAGGUCCAGAUAAGGUGAGGUUUAUUCAAGGAAAUUUGUUGGAAGCCCAACUUAAGGGACAUGUCAUUCAAUCUCAUUAUUGAAAGUAUCUUCUGUGAAGGGAGUUAUGUGGUUUGUAAAGAGGAACAAGCUUAGUCCUUGGCAUAUUUUUCUAUUUGAGGUUUUCGACAAUAUGGGUCUGGUAUCUUGCAAGUUGGCUUUUCCACCAAUCCUGUCAGGGGUCCACUCGAUAUUCCAUAUGUCAAUGCUUAAGGGAUACCAUGGAGAUGGGGAUUAUAUCUUCAAAUGGGAUUCACAUUUUCUAGAUAAGAACCUUUCUUGUGAAAAGAAAUCAAAUGCAACUCUUGAUUAAAAUGUUUGAAAAAUAAUAAUAAGGAAAUUUAGUUGUAAAGGUUCAACAGAAACAUCAUCUAGUUGAAGAGGGACAUAUGGGAAAAGUACCCUUAUUUGGUUGAGGAUACAAUUACUUUUCUACUUAUUACUUACCUCAUUUUUGUUAUUUUAUCAUUCGAGAAUGAACGAUAGGUAAAAUAAAUAUUUUUUGCAAUGACCCUUUUCAUCGUUGUAGAUAUGUAUAGCAUGCUAAUAUUUAGUUUACGAUUUUUCCCAUAUUGAGAGUUAGGAACUUUAGGCUAGGCUAGUCUUGGAUGAAAUUUGAGUGAGGUAUGGUCUAGGGUAAUUUCAAAAUGUAUUAGCUAAUGGUUACAGGUUUUGAGUUGAUCUUAAGAAAACUAUGAUGAUAAGGAAUCCAUAGGAAAUUUUAGAAGUAAAUUUGCAUGAGUAAAACUCCUGAUAUUGAAUUUGAUGUAAAGUGGUUGAAAUAUGAGGGUGUGUUUUAAAAAUGGCAAAACUAGGAGAAAUCCUAAGUUUCUGCCUUACCUAUCCCACUAUACUGGGUAGAAAGCUGCUAUCACUACGAUUCUAUAGUGGGAAUUUUUGCAUUAUAGCUAAUGGGAGUCAGCUUUGGUCAAUCCUACCAUAGCAGGUGGAUCCCGUAAGAGAGGCUACUAUAGUGGGAUAGGACUUCUAUAGUAGGAUAUGCAUUGAUUGAUUUUAAAAAUAUCAUAAGAAUGCUUUUUUCAUUCCACAUUCGUCUAAGGGAUGGGAGAGGUGAUUUUGGUUGAUUUCCACCUAAUUUUCAUGAUGUUUCUUUGUAAAGAUAAGAUAAUCCCUUCCACUAACAAGUUUUUCAAUUAUUAAACCUUAGAAUCACUAUUUUAUAGAGUUAGAGAGGAUUUAACACCUAACCUAGGAAAUUUUUCUAGUGUAAUUGGGGGAAUUGAGUCGAGAACCCUUUGAUUUUUUCUAAAAAAUAGGCAAUCUACAUGUGCAUACAUAGAUAUCACAAUUAAAUCCAUGAAAUUAGUAGAAUUAAGGUAGAAUGAUGCUAGAAAACCCUAAAAUGGGAGGAAUGAUCAUGAAAUUUGACGUUGGGUUAUGGUAUUAGAUUGUAAUCCUUGAAUAUACUAGAUUGUUGUAUAAAUUAUGUUCAUGUUAUCAUUUUUUACCACAAUAAAGCAAAAAUUACACGAAAGGCAAAGAUUGAUUUUAAUAAAAUAGUGCAAGCAUUGAUUGAGGUAGGAGAUGUUUUAAUGUAGUUGAAACCCAACUUGACUUAUGUGUGCAUGUUAAAUGAUUCUUCCUAUACUUUUUACAAUGUAUGUUCAAAGAAAUUAAAUGGUAAUUGAUAUCCUAAGUGUUAAUCACAUGCAGUGAGGUUAUAUUAAAAGCUUGGUGGUUUUACAAAUAUGUGAUUGUUGUUUUAAGUGUGAUUGUGAUUGUAAUAAUAUUAUUUAAGUACUAUGGAAUGUAUUGGUAUUUAGAUAUAUUUAUGAGAUUUAUAUUUCUAUUUUUAUUUAUCGAUAUUUGGACAUCUUCAUAUGAUUGAUCGAUAUAAGUUUCGCACUAUGAUAUUUUAUGCUUUUUUGGGUUGAAUUCUUUUAUUAACAUUUGUAAUAGUUUUGGUACAAUGACUUUUAGAUUCUAGGGUUUGUUUAGACAUUUUUUUUUUGCAUCUGUUAUUAUUAGAACACUUGAGACUUUGGAUUGUUAAAUGAAGUGGGUAGCAUAUUUGAUUUCCAAUUUAAGUGUUGUGUUUAGUCGCCUAAGUUUAAUGGUUCUCCUAGCAAAGGGUUAGUGUAGGUUCCGUUCACGAUGAUUUGAUUUGUGAUAGUAAAAUUAUUAGAUCCGCGUCAAAAUUUUAGAACCAAGAUGAAAAGUAUCCACAUAUUUCGAAUCUGUAUGAGGAAGUUUUCCCAUUUUUCAUAAAUUUUGCUGGUGCAUCAGGGGUUUUUAACAUAGAUCUACCAAAUAUUUGUUUCACUUGUAAGGAAUGUCUACAGGUGUGAAUGUCCAGUCGCGGAUGCAAAUUUGCAGGUGCGAGAAAUGAUUGCGGGUGCAGAAAUCAUCGAGUUUAAAUCAUCAAUUGCACAUAUUUGUUGCUUUUGAUAUUUUGGGAGUUAGGUAACUCCAAUUGACAUUAUUUUUGAUACAUUAUUCUUGUAUAAAAAUUGACAAUAUGAUUCUACCUUUAUUUUCCCUUAUUUCUAAGAGCACCUAUUAUAUUUUUCAUAAUUUUGACUCACAAAGUUGAGAUUUUUAACUUUAAAGUAAACAAAUCAAAACUCUUUUUAUUUAUUGAUCAAUUUGUGAUGGCUUUCUUGGAUUUUUCAACUUAAGGUCCUUACAGUAUGGGUUAAUUAAUUUUGGAAUAAAUUUACUAGUUUAUCAAAUAAUCAUCUCAUUUUAAAACCAUGUGUGAAUAUAGAAAUUGGAGACUUUGAGCCUAAAGUUAAGAAAUCAUAUUUUGAUGAUUCGAAAGUUGGUUUAACCUCCAAUUUGAAUUAAAUUUUAUAAUGGAUUUUUCUAAGUUAUGGGUAACACAGUUUUGAAAUUAAACAUUAACUUUUCCCUUGUGAGCUUGGGGUUAACUUUUUGGACCUAGAUUAAAGUAUAGUAAUAUGGGUGUUUACGAUUUUAACUUUUAAGUGAAAUAUGUAUUUGAUAAUAUUAGGUUCAUUUGAGGCUCUACAGAAUGGGAAAGAUUUGACCUGACUUUUUCAACUUCCUUUAAAACAAUUGAGGCUUUUUUUACUCUUUCUAUAGUGUUAAUGUGCUAGUUGUGUGGAGGGUAAUGAAAAUAUAGGGGUCCUGUAAAGGUGAGGUAAUAUGUAUCUUUAAGGUACUAGUAUUUUAUAAAGGGAUAAAAUGAACUAAUUAGCUUGUAUGGACUAUCUUUCCAAAUUAACUAGCAUGGUUAUUAUUAUAUGUAUCUAAAAAUGACUUAACGAGUAUGCUAGCUGAUGAAUUUACUCCUCAUUGAAAGUUUGAGUUUUAUUAUGGUGAUAUUUGGAUCUCUGCCACAUGAGUACUAAAACUAAAGUUAAUAAAAAUUAUGAAUAUUGAUAGAUCUGAACUUAAACUAGAAUUUAAAUUGACCUAUGGUGACAUGCUUGCAUAUUAGCAUUUCAUAGGGAUCAAAAUAACACCUUUGCUAGUAUUGUAUGGAUCAGGUUACACACUUACCCAAUAGCAUAUGGAUCAUAGAGGCAUGCUUUCUUGAAAUUCUUAUUGAUAUUUUUAAUAAUGAAAGGCACAUAUGUCUGGUAUAUAGGACUUAUGAGUCCCUCAUGGGUCCGACCUAACAAUAUAGAGUAGCAGGUGUAUUCAUAACAUAUGCAUCACAUUUAUUAUUUAUGCUCAUUGUACUUGGACUGAUAUUUUAUAUGAUAGAUAAUUGAGUGGGUUGUUAGCUUCAUGUUUGUUUAAGAUGUAUGAGUUCAAUUGGACCAUGUUAUAUUAUUGUCAUUGUGGCUAAAAUGUAAGACUAGGUGAGGCCUUUCUUAAUUGCAAGCUUAUUUGAAUAGUUUGAGUAUCUGAAAUGUAGGUCAUUCAUCCGAUCAUUUUGAAUUAGGAUUAAUCAAUGAUGCUAUUGAGUACAUGCAGAUUAGCACUCACACUUAUUUAUUUCAACACUUUAUUUGCAUGUACUAAGUCGGUGUUCCCUAAUAGCUUGCUCAAAGAUUGUGCUUUGUAUUACUUCCAGAAAUUCAUGGGUAGCAGCUAAAUGACCUAGUGCCUACUGGAUAUCCUCCAUUAUUUUUUAUCAUGUUGGUUCAUCUUGUAUCCCGAUAUUCUAGACUCUCAGUUAUGCCUUGUUACCCUUAGAUUUUUAUACUUCAUGAAUUUUAUGUUUUGGGUUGUUAGUUAACUCAUGUACUUCUUUAUGUAUUGAUUUCUACAUAGUUCAAUACUGAGACUUAGUAUUAUUCUCUUUUAUGCAUAGUUAUAUUGUAUUUCAUUCAUAUUAUUGAGUUGCCAUACCUAUCAUGGGGGAUUUUAUAAGUGGCAUAACAACUUGAGUUUUGGAUUUGGACAAUUUGGUAUCAAGGUUCUAGGUUCAUUAGUCUCACAAAUACAUAUCAAGUUUAGUAGAGUCUUAGAGGUUGGUGCAGAGACGUCUGUUAUAUAUCUGUAAGAGGCUAUAAGACUUUAGGAAAUUCAAUUCUUUUAUAUUUAUCGUGAGUUUUUAGUUCGGUCUAAUUCAUAAAAUCUCAUUAUUUUAUUCUUUCACUUGUAGAGAGGACACAUUCUCAGAUUCCUAAGCUAAAAGCUGGGGUAACAUCGCAUAGUAUAAAGCAAUACGAUGAAUCUCCCACUUCCUUUACAUAGCUAAUCCGCCAGGGUUCCUACAACCCUAGUCAGGGAGAGUAGAUGCUCAUGUUCAUGCAAGAAAUCAUGAUUAUCAAUGAGGAAUACAUGUGAAUAAUUUUGCAAGAAUAAGAUGAAUAAAAUCCCAAGACUUCAAUUGAAUAAAAACCCAAAUCUCAAGAAUAAUAGCAAAGUAUGUAAAAGUACGUCAAAAAUAAGUUAAAGUGUGUCCUAUAAUAAAAGUUAAACCCUAAGGUAUUUAUAUUAUCUAAAAGAUACUUAGAAAUCCUAAUAAAAAUAGAAAAGGUAAAUUAUGUUAGCACAAAGUACAACUCACUCAUCCACUCGUACUAUCUUCUUAUGAGUCAUAUUGUGCCUCUUAUAUCUACUUCAGCGUCUGUUCUUCCAGGCUUCAACUUUUUGUUCUGCUUAUGACUCAUACCUUGAUCAUAAACUCGUUGCCUUAAAUAGUAUCCCCUUCUGACUUCUAUCUUUCCAAGUUUUGACACUGGUCUGCUUACGGUUAGAUCAUACGAAUCAUACUCAGACUUCCGACUCAUAGUCUUAUGCCACUUCAAGUCUGAAUUUCUUCCUUAGGGUUUUCUCUGUGUGCGAUUUCAUGAUACGCACGUACCCUUAGCUUACGACUCGAAUGCCCAAUCUUAUCUUCUCAAUACUAUGCUUUUCUUCCUGGCCCUGGUUUCUGUUAUGCUUACAGUUCAACCUACGAGUCGUAUGAGGUGUUAAUGACUCGUGAGGAGACUCGUACCUUCUGCAACUUUGGUCUUUUCAGGUGUUUUUCUUCGAUUUUCCUCCUAACACUAUUCUAGACCAGUUUUACCUGCAAUAACCAUAAAAGUACAUCAUAUCUACUAAAAUGACAUAAGUUCAAGCAUAAUUUCCUGGUUUUAAGCAUUGAAAGUACUGUGUUUACACGACACAUUAACACCCCCAACUUAGAAGUUUGCAUGUCCUCAGGCAAAGUAAAAACUAAAAACUAUCACAAAACAAUAAUGCUUUAAUAGGAAGAUCCUAAGAUACCUAUGGCAGUGAACUUUCAGUCAAUUUUCAACACCUUUAUUCCCCCUCCUAAUUUUACUUUUCAAGAAACAACCGUGUAUACGAUUAGGUACAUAGAAUGGAAAAAUGGAAUUCGAUGAUGGUAUUACAUUAGUAAUAGACAACUGGGCAUAUACAAAUCACAUUCGUCGAACAGUCAAGAAACCUAACAACAUACCCCAUGUGUGCUCACAAUUAAAGAAAUCCCUUUUUUAAAUCUCUUCUAAGAUUACCAAUUCAUUCAGGGAUAUAUCAAACAACGCUCUCGCUCAUAAAGAAGUUUCUCCAGUGUAUACAAAAUACCAUAGGCUUGCCCAUGUGCUCUUUUCCUAAGCUUUUGAACAGUUGAGGUAGGAUUACUAAAGGAAUUUAUCCGGUUUGUAACGUAGAUUAUGGGAUGAUAUGGUAUCUUUUUGGGAUUUAUUUAGAGACUAAUCCUUCUUGACACUACAUAUUUUUCGGAGUCCACUCAUUUUUCAUUUUUUCUCUUUUAUUUCUUCCCUUAUGUCUCCCUUUUUAUUUUAAGCACAUGUCAUGUUAAACCAGGUGAGAUUUUCUUUUUCUCACUUUUUUUUCUUUUCUUGUAAUUUUCUUUUUCUUUUGUUUGUACUUCACCUAUCCUUUUUCAUUCAUUUUUUUCUUUCACCUGUCUUUCAUUACACUCGUUUUUCCUAUGCACCCCUAUAAUAGCCACCCUCAACUUAGGCGAUUUGCCUGAGUUGAGGUGCAUAGUGUCCAAGGAGGACCAGGGCCAAGAUAGGUUCAUUGUAGAAAUAGGCAGGUGAAAUACGUGUAAAUAACAAAAUUGGUCAGUUAAGGCUCAAAUAUUUGGCUCAAAGGGAUUCAUUCAUUUUGUUUGGGCAAUUAGGCUAUAGUGAACUUUCAACAAAAAUGACCUAUGAUCAUCUCUACUAGACUAUCCUAGGCCUAGGUAAAUGCAACUGGGUAAGUUCUAGAUUUCGAUACACGGGUAACUCAGUAAUACCUCAUGCAUACUCGCACUAGGUUAUACUGUUAGGUACUACCUAUCUAGCUAUGAAAAUUUUUCCCUAGUUAUUAUUUCCCUAAUCCUAAUGCCAUUAUUAAAUUCGUAGUUAUCUCAUGCACAUACACGAUAACACGGUUAACAGAAAACUUUAGAAGGGGUAUUAAUUUUUCAACAUAUUUUUUUUUUCAAAUCAGACCAUUUCAAGCAUAAUUAUUCAAAACACUCAACUGCCACAAAUACUAAUUUUCCUCCUAUUUCAGCUAUUCCCAGCACACAUAACAACAACACAAAAUAAAAAAAAAAAACAUAAAACCAUAAAUAGGACAUCCCAGUUUUUUAAAUUUUUAGAAUGUGGCCACGGGCUUUAAAAUAUAGCAAAUAUUGCCUGUGGCAACUUGGUACACCCCCACCCUAAAAUUAAAGCUUAUGCACUGUCCCCAGUGCAUGUAAAAAUUAAAUGCAAGGGAAUGGGAACAUACCUGGGUGCUCAAGUAGCUGGUUCAUACAAUAUCAGCAUGUGGGCCCUCAGGUCGGGUCCCACCAUUAUUAUCACAAGUUCCAUCAACUGUCAGGACUGAAUUAGCAAUCUUGGCACUAUUGAUGAUUAGUGUGCUCAAUGGAAUAUCAUUCAGUGGGUCUGCAUGAAUUUCUCCCUCAACAUUAAUAAUUGUCGGUCUUGAACCACUAGCUCCAAUAACCAUCCCCUCACCCGCCGGUCCUGCUCAUCUUAUAGGCUAUCUGCCUUAGCCUUCUUUGUAGCAAAUUUCUCCUCAUGCUUCCUCUUUUUUUUUCUAGGGUCUCCUCAACUACCGAUUCUGAAAUAGCCCAAAUAUUAUCAACAUGGACAUCAGGAAAAAUAGUCAUGACCUCAGGCUCUGGGAUAACCAGUUUGUCGAACAACUCUAUGACCUUCCUCUUAAUCUCAGCUACCUCGACCUUCACCUCCAUAAUGUCCGAGGUAUGGCCAUUACUCAACUUCUAAUUCAUCCUCAACUCAAAUGCAUAUAAUCGCUACUGUACCCUCCGUUCCUGGUGUGCCAAUUGAGUAUCAACCCAGGGCUCUAUGUCCCCUUCUAUGUUUCAGACCUUGGUCUCUAAUGUAACCAAUCUUAUCAUCACCUUGGUCUACAUAGACUAUGAAAUUAGCAUAAAACUAGAAGUCAUACUUAUCAAGCGAGGUGGUAUAGACUACCCUGGAGGAGGGGUACUAGAUUUACCCUCUACAGCUGAAGUCUAUGCAGUCUCAGUUUUUCCACCUGUCUCAACCAUCUCGGUAGCCUCAGUCUGACUCCUUGCCUCACUUUCUUGGCCAAUGGGUUGGCUGUAUCUCGAAUUAUGACCAAGUUUGUGGUAUUCGUAGCCUCUAUCAUCUCAUUAAUACUUGGGAGUUCCCAUACCCCUGCAGCCAAACUCAGCUGCAUAAUCAUUUGCGGGUAUGACAGAAUAAAAUUUUUACCUCCUACAACUCAAUCUCUUAUCUCCUGAUCUAGAAACUCUCCUACAAUAAACUCUUAGCCAGCUAUGGACCCAACUAUCAAAGCAGCUUGGAAUGGACUUAACACAUUUUCCCCAGUGAGGGGACAAAGCCCGUGUCGAUCCAACAUCCACCAUGCCUUGGCCUCAAAAUUAAGAGUAUUCUUCUCUAUAUUCAAUGAGGUGACAUAAAGUACACCAACUACCUACACUAUAUUCUCACUAUUCGACGUUAUUUGACUAGCAAUCCACCAAAAAUAAUCCAGCUUCUCAUCCAACCCCAUCUGUUUACUAGUAAUUUUUCUCAUCUUCUUCAAAUGGUAAUCCAUUUCACUAGUAUUUACCAAAGGUUGAUAAUUUGGUCUUUAUAAAAUAUGGCAAUAUUGCUUGAAGAGACAUCGACCCACACACCCCAAAUGAACAAUGAAGUAAUGGGGUCUCCACUUCUCCAUAGCUGAAGCUGUGGAUAUUGUAUUUGCAGUUCUCCCCUGUAUGCUGUGUAAAACUCCUAGACUAGCGUGGGACUGUACCUUUUGAGUACUUUAGUAAUCCACUCAAACCCAUACUUCCUGAACUAAUCCUUAAACCUGGGUAACUCUGCCAUAACAGUAGUAAUCAAGCGUCUCUCGAGAUACCAAUUCUUUUUAAUUUUUCCAUUCUCGAGUUUGCUUAAGCCGUCAUUAUAUGUAGCCUGCAUAUCGAGGUAACCCCACCAUUCAAUGAUUGGAACCAGAGUAGGUGUGAUAGCCAGUAGAGUGUGCUUCACAUUAAUCAGAGGCACGUGAACUUCUUUUGUAACAUUUUCUGAAAUCUCUGCCUCAGAACUAUAUUUAACUUCUUUUUUUGCCUCCAAAGGUGGAGGUGAGUGUGGAGGGGAUAUACUAGAGUUAUUCCUUUUUAUUUCCAUGGAGCUGUGUCCUAUGAGUUUGCUACUCUCUUGCCCUGAGCAGUUCUUUUGCUCCUAUGGUUAACUUUUCCCAUCACUGGGAACUCAACCCCAUCACCACAACUAGUCGAUGACUUAGUUGAUUCAGAACUUAAGGAUGGUGCAUUUUUCUUUCCCUUCUAGGACACUUAUUUGGAAUAAGAAACACCUUUUGGAGGCAUGGUACCUUAAAGUACACAUUAAGUAGUAAGUAAAUAAAGAAAAGAAAUCAAAAAAUCAAAAAAUAAAUAGUAGUGUGCAAGUUUAGUUCAGGGUAUGAUUAGGGCAUACUAUUCAUAUCGACUGGGUAUGACUUGUAUGACCGAGUCAUGUGAUACUCAGUGUGUACAUGGGUGUUCACUGGCCUGCAUAUGAGUCCUCCAAGUGAGUUGUAAGACAAGGUAUGACUCGUUACCAACACUCAUAAGCAGUGUAAAAACAAAACCCUAAAACAUGACCUCUUCCCAGGUCCUUACGACUUUCUUGUACUAGUCAUAUGGUUAGGUACGACUUAUUUAGGCAAGUCGUAUGCAUACCAAAAUUCAAAAUUAGAUAGACUUUUAUGUUGUUAUUAGGUACGAGUCUAAUUAUGACCUCGUUACUUAUGGUUACGAGUCCUAAGGAGUCUCCUAUCUACUACAAUAUAGAAGUUCAGCUUUAGAGUUGACUCCAAUUCAAAAUUCCCAAACUACACACUACUUUAUGUAGUAAUAUCACCCAAUUUUAGUCAAAAUAACAUAUAAUAUCAACACCUAAAAUCAAGUUUACCACCAAUUUCUAUUUUCAACUCAAAACCUAUGAACUAGGUACCAAAAUGCACCAUAUACAUAAUUAUAACUCAAAUCAAGUUUACAAUAUUAUACAUUAUCACUUUCAACUCAAAAAAUAUAGCAAUUAGGUUCAAAAACUUACUUGAACGAGUGAGAGCUUAGGGUGCUUGAGUUUUUCAAAGUUCUUCCCAAAUUUGUGCUUAAAUUCGUGCAAGUUGAAGAAUUUGAGCAAGUUAGUAUCUAAUUCAAUAUGUUUUUUGUGCUUUUAGAGCUUGAAAUUCGAUCAGCAAUGGAGGUGUGUAUGUGUUUUGGAUAUCGAGUACCCUAUUUGUUCUUUGUAUUCAUGUGCUGGGCCAGGCUGACCAGUGACCCCGACCUAAUAAGCUUGGGUAUGAGUUAUGUGUACAACUCGUACCCAGGCUUACGGGUGUUUUGUUCAACUUGUAUAGACUUGGAAACUUACUUGGGUUCUAGUGUGGAUACAACUUAAUGUGACGAGUAGUACCUUGAGGGUAUGACUCAUUCUGAGAGUCAUAAAGACUCCAAAAACUUUUACGUUAAUCUACAUAGUCUACUAAGUCCUUAAGACUUACUCAAAAGUCGUACCAUUAAUAUAUGACUCGUGAAGAGUUUGUAUGACCAAACUUUUUGAACUUUUCUGGAUCUUUUCUGCAAUAUUUAGUCCUACAUACUGAACAAACAUAUUACCCUGUAAAUAAAUGAUAACAAACCAUGGGUUUCUUCCCACACAACUAUUGAUUUAACGUUACGAUACGACAUGGCUAAGUUGUAUACUCAGCUUUUACCGUCUAUCUUUAUGGGUUGCCUCCUAUGCAACAUUUGAUUUUAUGUCCCAACACGAUGUAAUUACCUUAGUUACUCAGACUUCACCAUGAUCCAUCUCAAGAAUCAUAUUUAUUUCCUUAGUAUUACCCAUAUAGUUCUUUACUCUUUGACCAUUCACCAUCCCACUUCAAUUCCGAAGCACCAUAUGGGAGCACUCUUAACAUAGUAAAUGGACCAUACCAUCUGGAUUUUAACUUACCUAGAAACAAGAGAAGCCUUUAGUUGUAGAGUAAUACCUGAUCACCUUUUUCGAAGAUUCUUUUCUCAAUUUUGGAAUCAUAAUGCAACUUCAUCUUUUCCUUGUAAAGUGUAGAGCUUUCAUAAUCCCAAACUUGGAAUUCAUCCAACUCAUUCAUCUUGUUCGCUAUUGACUUGGCUGCAUCUUGCCACUCAAAAUUCAACUUAUUUAAGGCCCACGGUGCUUUAUGUUCAAGCUCAAUAGGGAAAUAACAAGCCUUGCCAUAUACUAUAAGGUGAUGCACAAAUAGAGUUUUGAAUAUUGUGGUAAGCCCGUAAUGUAUCAUCUAACUUUCGUGACCAAUCAGUCCUAUUGGCAUUUACUGUCUUGGCCAAGAUGGACUUUAUUUCUCUAUUGGACACCUCAAAUUUUUUACUAGUCUGCGAAUGAUAAGGUGUUGCCACCUUGUGUUUCACUUCAUACUUCUCAAACAGACUUUGGAAUAGAAGAUUACAAAAAUGUGGCCCACCUUCACUAAUAAUAGCACUUGGGGUGCCAAAUCGAUAAAAUAUGUGUUUUUUAAGGAAUAUAGUGACACUACGUGCUUCAUUGUUUGGGAGCGCAACUGGUUUGGAUACAUAAUCCAUAGCCAUAAGUAAAUACUUAAUGCCAAAUGAACUCACAAAAAGUCCUAUGAAAUCUAUACCCCAUACAUCAAAUAAUUCCAAUUCUAAAAUAAGGGUCAUAGAAAGUUCAUGGCGUCUAGAGAUAUUACCUUGGCGUUGGCAUUGAUCACAAGUAGAAGCAAAAUCAUAUGCAUUUUUGUAGAUUAUUGGCCAAUAAUACCUAUAUUGAAAGAUUUUGUGGGUUGUACGGCUUCCUCCAUAAUGACCCCCAACUAGCGAAGAGUGAUAAGCCUCAAGUAUGCUCAUUAUCUUUAUAUCAGGUAUACAUCUAUGAAUAAUCCCAUCCACACAUAUUCAUAAUAAAUAAGGCUCGUCCUAUAAAAAUUUCCUUACCUCAUACAUAAACUUCUUUCUUUAUUAGAAGGAAAGAUCUUCUAGGACUAGAUCACUAACUAGAUAAUUUGUAUAAUUUGCAAACCAUGGAAUUAGAUCUUAGGAAGUUGCCAAUAACUACUCAUUUGGAAAACUGUCAUUAAUUUCUAGCCCAUCUUCCAUUUUCUACGUAGCUUCCUCCUCAAGUCUGGACAAGUGAUCCGCAACUUGAUUCUCCGUUCUUUUUCUAUCCUUGACUUCAAAAUCAAAUUCUUGCACCAAUAGUACCCACCUAAUCAGUCUAGGCUUUGCAUCUUUCUUUGUUAUCAAGUACCAAAACGCUGCAUGAUCUAUGUUCAUAACUACCUUUAUCCCAAUCAAGUAAGACGGAAACUUCUCAAAGGAAAACACCACUGCCAACAACUCUUAUUCAGUCACUGUGUAGUUCGUUUAAGUAGGGUUCAAUACCUUACUGGAAUAGUAGAUGGGAUGAAGAAUAUUUUCUUUUCUAUGACCUAGGACAGUACCCAAGGCCACUCCACUUACAUCACACAUAACCUCAAAAGGCAAGGACCAAUCAGUAGACACAAUGAUUGGAGCCAACACCUUCUCUUUUAGACUUUUAAAAGCCUUCAUACAUGCAUUAUCAAAAACAAGUUUCACCUCAUUCUCAAUAAUCUUGCAAAGAGAAUUAGCUAUCUUUGAGAAAUCCUUGAUAAAAUGCCUAUAAAAACUUGCAUGUCCUAAAAGACUCUAAAUUUUCUUAACAGAAAUUGGUGGAGGUAAUUUCUCAAUCACCUCAAUUUUAGCUCUAUCAACCUCUAUGCCCCUUUUUGAAAUCUUGUGCCCAAGCACAAUACCUUCUUUGACCAUAAAAUGGCACUUUUCCCAAUUAUGUCCAAAGUUGCAUUCUUCGCACCUUCUAAGAGCAUUUGCUAAGUGUACUAGGAAGUCUUCAAAAAAAUCACAAACAAUUGAAAAAAUUAUCCAUGAAAACUUUGAUAGUGUCUUAUACCAUAUUAGAGAAGAUGGACAUCAUACAUCUCUAAAUUAUGGAUGGAGAAUUGCAUAGCCUGAAUGGCAUACAUCUAAAUGCAAAAUUCCUAUAAAGACAUAUGAAGGUGGUCUUUGCAUGGUCUUUAGAUGCAAUAGCGAUUUGGUUAUAACCUGAAUAUCCAUCAAGAAAAUAGUACCAUCCUCUGCCCGCUAAUCUGUCUAACAUCUGGUCUAUGAAUGGGAUGGGAAAAUGGUCCUUUUGAGUCCAUGCAUUCAAUUUUCUAUAAUUCAUGCAUACUCUCUACCCUAUGAUUGGCCUCAUCAUCACUAACUCAUUCUUCUUAUUGGGAACAAUAGUAAUCCUACCUUUCUUUGAAACAUAUUAUAUCGAACCAACCCACUGCUAUUAGUAAUGAGAUGUAAUACACCAACAUCCAACCACUUGAUAAUUUCCUUAUUUACCACCUAUUGCAUAGGAGGAUUGAGUCAACGUUGAUGCUUUAUACUUGGAAUACACUCCAGUUUAAGUUGAAUUUUAUGAGUACAAAGACCAAGAAAAAUACCUGCAAUGUCUAUAAUAGACUAACCAAUGGCCCUCUUGAAUCUGUAUAAUACUAAUAACAAUGCUUCCACUCGUGAGUCAAUCAAAUCAUUAGUAAUAUUUACUGCUAAAGUAUUGUUUGCCCCAAAAUAUGCAUAUCACAAAUGAGAAGGAAGGGCCUUCAACUUUAAGAUUAGUGGAUCUUCAAUGGAUGGAUGAGCAGGUGGAGUAGUUCUAUUCAUCAAAUCAAAAUCAAGCUUGUUUGGUUCAUAAGUGUAAGAACCACUCCCAUAAACUACACAUACCAUCUCAUCAUACUUCUCAAUGCCAUCACUGUCAAAGUUGAUAAUCACUGCUGCUAGCACUUCAACAGCUAACCUCUCUUCAAUAGGAACAAUAAUAUCAGAACCAUCAUCCCAAAGAGUAAUAGAAUCAACAUCAUAGAAUGAAUUUGUUUCAUUAUUAUACACAUCAAUCACGGAUACCACUCUUAACUCAUCUGGCUGCAUCAUGGAUUUGCAUACAUUAAAUACCACUUAUUCAUCAUUGAGUCUCAACAUCAGAUGUCCUAGCUCCAAAUCAAUCAACAUCCUUCCUAUAGCCAAGAAUGGUCUUUCUAAAAUAAUUAGGACUUGAAAGUCCACUUCAUAGUCCAAUAUCAUAAAAUCCGUAAGAAAAAUAAAAGAAGCCACCUUCACCAAUAUAAUAUAUAGAUUACCAACUAUUUUUUUCACUAUCAUGUUUGCCAUCACUAAUCUCAUAGUGGUUGGUUUGGGAGCCCCAACCCUAACUAUUUAAAUAUUAUGAAUGGCAUGAGGUUGAUGCUAGAACCCAAAUCACAUAAUUCAUGAGCAAAGUUGGAAGAUCCAAUGGUGUAAGGUAUAGUGAAAGCACAAGGAUUCUCCUUCUUAUACACUAAUGAUCUAGUAGCUAUAAUACUACAAUAAUGAAUAUUAUCGACUGGCGCAUAACUGAUAGACCUCUUCUUGGUGAUUAAAUCUUUCAUGAAUUUUGCAUAUCUUGGCAUUUGCUCUAAUUCCUCUAUAAGUAGGAUGUUGACUGAUAGCUAUUUUAGCAUUGAUAAAAACUUUUGAUACUUACCGUCUUCUUAUUUUUUUAGCCUUUGAGGAAAAAGAGGACAAGCUAUUAGGAUAAGUUUCAAAACAGGAUCCUCGGCCUUAUUUUCUCUUUUAUCUUACUUGCUACUACUAUCCACAUCAACAGGAUCAUCAUUAUUCUUUUGCUCCUCUACAUCUGGUAUAGUUGGGUCUAUGGUGAAUUUACCACUUCGAGUGGUAAUGGUGUGGUGGUGGCCAUCAUUCUUUAGAUUAGCCACUGUGUUUCUCAAGAGAGUGCCAGACAGUCUUUAAUUUAAUGUGGUUUAUAUGUGACCAAAUUAUUGUUCCAACUGCUUGAUUGUUGUAGCACGUGACUCAACUUUCUGGUUUAGCCUUGGAAAGUCUACAUUGAUAUCCUUAAGGCAGCUCUCUUGACUUUCUUGCCCCAUGGCUAAUUUUGAUAAUAGCGCCUCUAUCCUGGAUUUUGAAUCAUGAUUACUUGGAAUAUAUUUUUCACUCUUCUCCUUGUAGUUAUUUUUUCACCAUCAAUCACCAUCUCUCUUUCUACUUCUAUCUCUGUAUUUGUCAUUAUAAUAGUUCGACCUUAAUUCCCUUGCCCUUGGGCUUAGAAAUCUGCCAAGCUAUGAUUAAGAUACUUUACUUCUUUUUUAGAUUCUAUCUCAAAAAUUUUACGAGUAGAUCCUUAUGCCACAGCUACAUUCACUUUCUCAGCACUCAUUAUUGUGAACUAUUUUGUAAGCAACCCAAUAUCAGUCCAAAGCUGUGCAAUCUCUUGUGCUACCAAAUCAUGAACAAAUCCAUAAUCAUUGGUCGCUCCAAAAACAUAUGUACCUGUACCACAUUCUGCAUCUCUAGUAUGCUAACCUUUAUUAUUCACUAAAAUAUCACCCAACAUAUCCUGCGCAAUAUCCCACCAAAGACGCAUGAAUGCACCUUCCAAAAUCGUAUCUGCCAUUGUUCUUGAACUGAUGUUCAAUGAUCUAUUGAAGAUUUCUAAUAAAUUUGAUCCUCUAAUUCUGUGAUUAGGUACUAUGCUCAGUUUUUUCUUGAAUCUAAACCAUGCCUCAUACAAGGAUUCUGCGUGUAACUGUCUGAAGUUAUAAAUCUUAUCUUUCAACUGCAACAUCCAUGCAGGAGGGAAAAAUUUGUUCAAAAAUUAUUUGAGAAACUCAUUCCAAGUAGUGAUUGAUCCUCUUGGAAGUUCCCCUAACCAUAGUGAUGCUUCACUUGUCAAUGAAAAUGGGAACAACCUCAAUAUCAAAGCUUUCUGGUCCACUCUCGAAAUAGAAUAUGAUGUUCAUAUCCCAAUAAAAUUAGAAAGAUGCAUGUUCGCAUCAUCAAUAGAUGAUCCAAAAAAUACACCUUUGAAAUUAAAAAAUUGGAUCUUGGCACUUGUAAUAUCAAAUUUCACAUUGAGGCGUAAAGCAGGAGGAACGAUGGCUCUUGUCAUAGCAGGUUCAACAUAACACAUAUCUUAUUCAUCAUCGUAUGGGUGUAAGUACUGAUAUGCAGGAAUCAAUAGAGUUCUGCCUCUAUGAACUCUGUCUCGAUGCUCAGCUACUUGUCUAGGCUGGCUAAUCCUCUUUGCUAGGCUAUCCCAACCUUUUUAGCUAAUCGUGCCUCUUCGACUGCUCUGCUAUCUUCCUCAACAUCAUUUAUUAGUUGUCUUAUCUAUAAAUCUGCAACAUUCUAUGGAUAAACUAGAGCACAUAGUAGUGUCACAUUAGGAUCAAUAUAUGUAGGGUCUUGAACCCUAUCACGAACUUGUCCUAAUAUUCUUCUUGGUAUUUAAAUAAUUUUCUUUGGCUCUAGAUAAAAAAGAAGUAUGAGAUUGCCUCUUUCCUAGUGUUUGACAUACACUGGCAUAUGCUAAAUCAAAAUAAAAAAUAAAACCUACAAAUUUCACUAAGUCAAUUAACUACUCAAACCGUCUUCCCCAACAAUGAUGCCAAAAUUUGAUGUCACCCAAAACUAACCUCCAAAAGAAGUAUAUUGUAGUCGAUGCCGAAUAUAGUAACCCAACUACGUUUGGGUCGAUCCCAUAGGGAAAACGUUAAAUAGUUUCUUAACUUGAUGUAAUUUGUGAGUAGUACGAAAAGUAAAUGUGGGAAUUUGGAAUUAUCAGUAACUAGUAACCAAAUUUUGAACGCUCUGAGUUGUAAACAAUAAGAGACUAACACUAGGCUUGUGUUCCCCCUGGCUUCACGUGUUUAAUCCAUCUAUUCUACUACUCUGCAUGUAAAGUCGACAAGUUAUGUAUUACCAAUCAUCUUGUGAACGUAUUGGUAAAUCUCACCCUUUACCUUAUGAGUCUCAGGAUAUCAACUUAUUUCUCCUUGUCUGUGAGUUCAGCUCACUUUCACCUUUUGAGUCUCAAGUGAUUCGAUGAGAUAAUGGAAUAGUAUAACAGAGGUGAAACUCAAAUUACUGUCUUAAUCCUGUUUUCCCAUCACAAACUCCCUUGUGAGGACGUUUGCAAAUAUAGGCUAUCCCCAAGCUUCUGAAGUAGCUUUGAGGUCAAUUAUUGUAAAAAAAUAUUAAGAUACAUUCCUAGACCCUAAAAUAGUUGAAUCUCCUACUUUUUUUACAUAGAUAAUUCACCAGGGUUCCCACAACCCUAGUCAGUGACAUUAUCCGCUCAAGUUCUUGUAAGAAACCAUGAUUAUCAAUAAAGAAUACAUGUAAUUAAUUGCACUAGAAUAAGAUGAAUAAAAUUCCAAGUCUUCAAUUGAAUAAAAACCCAAAAUCUCAAGAAUAAAUGUAAAGUAUGUAAAGUACAUCAAAAAUAAGUUAAAUGAGUUUUCUAAUAAAAGUUAAACCCUAAGAUAUUUAUAUUAUCUUAAAAAUACUUAGAAAUCCUAAUAAAAAUGGAAAAUGUAAAGUCAUGUCAGGAUAAGGUACGACUCACUCAUCUACUCGUAACGACUUCUUAUGAGCCAUACUAUGCCUCUCACAUCCACUUCAGUGUCUGGUCUUCUAGGCUAUAACUUUUUGUUCUGCUUAUGACUUCUGCUCACAAGUCAUACCUUAAUCAUAUGACUCAUGGCCUUCAAUCGUAUUCCCCAGGGACUUCUGUCUUUCCAAGCUCUGACACCGGUUUUCUUACAGUUGGAUCAUACGAGUGGUACUCAAACUUUUGAAUCAUAGUCUUCUGCCACUUCAACUUUGAAUUUCUUCCCUAGGCUUUUCUCUGUGUAUGAUUUUAUGAGACGGCUAGUACCCUCAGCGUACGACUUAGAUGCUAGUCCUAUCUUCUUAAUACUUUGCUUUUUUUCCUGGCCUUGGUGUCUGUUGUUCUUACAAGUUGUAUGAGGUGUUGACGACUCAUGAGGAGACUCGUACCUUCUGCAACUUUGGUCUUUUUAGGUUUUUUUCUUCUAGGUUCUUCGAAAUACUAUGCUAACAACAAAAGCUCAUCAUAUCUACUAUAAUGACCUAAGUUCAAGCAUAAUUUCAUAGUUUUAAGCAUCAAAAGUGUCGUGUUUCCAUGACACAUUAGCAAGGUGGUUACUUAUGAUUCUAGACAGUUGAAAGUUUAUGAGAAGAAUUACCCGACUCUUGAUUUGGAAUUAUUCGCUAUGGUGUUUAAAUUGAAGAUCUGGCGACAUUAUUUGUAUAGGUUCCAUGUUGAUGUUUAUUCUAACCAUAAGAGCCUGCAAUACAUGUUCACUCAAAAAGAGAUAAAUCUUAGGCAAAAGAGAUGGCUUGAGUUGCUAAAGAACUAUGACAUGUGUCUCCACUAUCAUCCAGAAAAGGCUAAUAUGGAUGCUGAUGCUCUUAGCAUGUUGACCAUGGGAUGAUUAUCUCAUAUGGAUGAGGAAAAAUAGGAUUUGGUUAAGGAUGUUCACUAUUUAGCUAAUCUUUGAGUCUGUCUCUUAGAUUUUGAGAAUGGUAGUGUGAUUGUUCAAGAGGUGGCAAAGUUAUCUCUUGGUGCUGAGGUAAAAGAGAAGCAAGUGGUGGUCCCUAUUUUGAUGCAAAUCAAGAUGAUAUGGGUAGGUAGAAGGUGAUGGUUUUCGAUAUUGGUGGUGAUGGUAUCUUGAGGUACCAAGGUAGAUUAUGCAUUUCCAAUAUUGAUGGGUUGCGGGAAAUAAUUUUGGCCAAAGUUCUUGAGUUAUGUUAUAUGGUACAUUCUGGUUUGACAAAGAUGUAUCAUGAUCUUAAAGAGUAUCGAUAGAACAAUAUGAAAUUAGAUGUGGCUAAUUUUGUGGCUAAGUACAUGGUGUGUCAGCAAGUGAAGGUAGAGCACUUGCGGCCUGGUGGGUUGACUCAAGAAAUUGAUUUGCCGAUAUGGAAAUAGGAAAUAAUUAACAUGGAUUUUAUUAUUGAUCUUCUGUGGUCUCUCCAGAAAUUUGAUUUGAUUUGGGUAAUCGUGGAUAGGAUGACUUAGUCUGCUCACUUCUUGCUAGUAAGGACUAAUUUCUCUUUUGAGGAUUAUGCCAAGUUUUUCAUUGAAUAGAUCGUGGAGUUGCAUGGUUCUCCAUUUUCCAUCAUAUUUGAUCGAGGUACCCAGUUGUUAUCAUACUUUUGGAGGUUAUUCCAGUGAGGUUUAGGGACUAAGGUAACCCUUAGCACCGCUUUUCACCUGCAGAUAGAUGGGAAAGCGGAAAGGAUAACUAAAGCCUUUGAAGAUAUGCUUUGGGCUUGUGCAUUUGAUUUUGGUGGAAUUUGGGUUGACCACUUGCCUCUCAUAGAAUUUACCUAUAACAAGAGUUAUUACUCUAGCAUUGGUAUGGCCUCAUUUGAGGACUUAUAUGGUAGGAGGUAUAGGUCUCCUAUUAGAUGGAUUAAGGUUAGUGAAAAUAAUUUAUUUUGCCCGAUUUGGUUCACCAAGGCAUAGAGAAGGUAAAGGUAAUUCGGGAUAGACUUAAAUCCACCCAAAGUAGUAAAGGGAGUUAGAGUUCAGUGCGGAUGAUUGGGUGUUCUUAAAUGUGUCUCCCAUGAAGGGAGUGAUGCGGUUUGGUAUGAAGGAAAAGCUCAGUCCCCAUUUUGUUGGUCCAUAUUUGAUUUUGAAGAGGGUUGGAAAUAUUGUAUAUAAAUUGGAGUUGCCUUUCAGAUUUAGAUCCAUUCAUCUGGUAUUCCUUGUUUUGAUGUUAAGAAAGUGCAUGUGUGAUCCUUCAAUGGUCGUUACUUUGGAAAAGGUAGGAAUUUUAGAUUUCUUAUCUUAUGAGGAAGUCUCAGUUGAGAUUUUGGAUCGACAAGUCUGUCGGUUAUGGACCAAGGAUGUGGCUUCGGUAAAGGUUCUUUGGAGGAACUAAAAGGUUGAAGAAGCUACCUGGGAAGCUGAGGAGGACAUAAAGUCCAAGUAUCCAUUCUUGUUCCCCAUUUAGGUAAAUCAUGCUUGAGGUAUGUGCAUUUCUUAACAUCUUUGUUUUCUGACUUUGUCAAAGGAGAUUAUGAUUUCCUUGGUAUCUAUGUUUUUUGUCUUUGUUAAAAGUAAGUGUGGUUUUAUUUGGAGUCAAAUAGUGCUAAUAAAUGCCUUGUUCUAUCAUUCUAGGAUGAAUGAUCCUAAGGGGGGAGUAUUUAACACCCCAGUUUUUUUGUCCUUAAAAAUUUCUAAAAUUUUAUCCUCUCCCUUGACUAUGACUUAACCUUACGAGUUGUAGGGAGUCUUGAAAAGGCCCUUGGACUCAAAUCGUAACCUAAAAAGUAAGUGUAUGACUAAGUUCUACUCUAAGUACAAGUGUCUCACUAAGAGUCGUAAAGACUCACUACGAGUCAUUGGGUACAAAUCGUAGGAUGUCUAGUUCAUACCCCAAAUGGGUUCUAUGUUGACUACGACUAGACCUUAUGAGCCGUAGGGUACAUUAUGAGUCAUAGAAGUUGAGUCAUAGGGUUAACAAUGUGUAGAUGACCUGGAAAAUCUCUUGGCUAUGACUUGUAGUAAUGAGUCGUAAUGAGACCUUACGAGUCGUAUAGUGACCCGUAGUCACUGAUGACUAAAUUUCAGCUUUUAAAUUGAGGGCACUUUGGAAAAUUCCCUCCCCACCCAACUAAAACACCACAUUCACAAAGCAUUUAAGGGGGUUAUUUCUCAAUCAUAAUGUAAUCAAACACUUCCAAAGCUCUCUCAAGAAACCAUAAUUAGGGUUUUUAAAAUGUAGGUCAUCCAAGGACUUAAGGGUAGAAUUCUCUCCAUAAACUUGGAUAUUUCAGGCGUGUUAUGCUUCCCCAAUUUCUAUUUAUUUAAAAUCAUAUGUUUUAAAGUGUUGUUAGUACGGUAUGGAUGUUGGUUUUGAAACAUGGGCUGAAGGUUUUGAAUAACUAUUGUUUAUGUGACGUUUUAUGUUUGUCCCUUCAUGGGUUAUGUUUAAAUGCAGGUUUUAAAAUUGAUUUGAUGCAUAGGUAUAGUGAAUAACUUAAGGGAUUCUGAUUUCUCCAAACAUGUGACUUUUGAAGUGGUUAUAACCUCAACCCCAUAUUGUGAAAGUGGUUUCGAAUAUGAAAAGUAUGCAUGUUAAACUACUCUUAAACUAUUGCAUAAUAUGAAAAGUCUAUGAAUCAAAAUGACUUUUGAAUUGAACCAUAGGUGGUUGUGUAAUUACUCAAGCUAAUGUAUAAUUGAACCAAGGGAGUUGUGAAUUCCCCCAAGUAAUGUUACUGGUUUAUCAUGUUGAUAUUACCUUGCAAGUGUAGUUUGUAUGACAAUACCAACAAUGUAUGUCUUAAUGUGUACCGUGGUUCAAUGAAUGAGAAUAUGUGAUACUUGUUUUAAUUAGGCUUUAAUGAGGGUUGCGUAGCAGAGUUGUGAAAGUAGAGGUCCCAAUAGACCAACACUAGAUACCGCAGUUGCCGAUGCGAGGGUCUAUAUGACCGAGUGGUUCGAGUCCCCCAUAUUAUUAUCAAAUGAUUGGGAGGUUUAGGUCCCCCUUAUUAUAUUACAUGAUUAGGUUCUUGUGUCACCUUGAUAUGUCAAGAGUUUUAAGUUCCCCAUAGUGCAUAUGUAUACCCUUUAAUUCGUGUGGCUACACGCACUAGGGCCAUAUAGACCGUGGGUGCCUUCCUAUGUUAUGACGGUUGAGCUAGACAAUCCAGGCAAAAGUUUUACAGUGCAUGUUAAGCCUUGUUCCCUAUCCUGACAUGUGAUAUAUAUUUGUAUAUGCAUUUGAGUAUGUGCAUUAGAUUUCGAUGAUUUGAACCGUUGAUCACAACAUUAUGUUAUCCUUAUUAUUGAGUUACAUGCUAGUAUUUACCCCACUAACCAUCUUCGAACACUGUAUCCCCACGCGAUGUAGACACCAGAGAUACCUCUACUUUUCUUUCGUAGAGUUAGGUGGAUUGGCUCAGCUAGUCGAUUUGUUGUGGUGCAGUGGUGAGCUUCCAUACUCCAAAAGACUUAGACAUUUCAUCCAAUUUUAUCAUAGAUUAGAAUUAAAAGUUUCCUUAUUAUUAACAUUAUAAUUUUCAUGACCAUCUGCUAGAGUCGGGGACAUGUCCUAACCAUGACUGAUUUUUGUUUUCUUUGCAUAAAGAAUUUGUCGGAUUACUGUGGACUUGGGUAUUGUUGGUUGGUUAUUUUGUUUGGUUACUGGUCAUCGGUCAUAAACUUAUCUUGUAUUCUUUAAUCUUACCAUGUGCUUUCUUGUUAUAUAUUCGGAACUCAUCUGAUGUUGGGGAUGUUGUGUUCAUGUGGUUAGGUACAGGGGGUGUCUCCGAUCCAUGACGUACUUGAGAUGCUCGUCAUAGCCGGGCCUUGGUUUGAGUCAUAACAAGAAGAGCGACGAUGAUAUUCCGGUGGCGGUAGCAGUUGUUUUGUGUUGGUGACAUCUGAUUUUUUUAGAUAGAUAGAGAGAAAGUAUAGAGUGAGGUAGGGUGUGUGACUGAGUGGAAGAAUAGGGUUAGGGUGUUAUUCAUUUAAAAAAGAAAAGAGUGGAGUAGUUGAUCUCAAUCGUUAGAUCAAUCUUGAUCGACGACUGGGAUUAAAGUUGGGUUAAAAAUUGAGUUUUUGAAAAGAUGAAUUUAGAAUUUCAUAUUAGGUUAAAUUUAAAUUAAUUUUGGGCUAACAUUGGCAUAAAUUGGAAAAAAUAUUGCAAGAAGUUAAAUAAUUGAGAAAAAAUGAAUUGAAUUUGUGCUGCUAUUAGAUAAAUAAAGUAAAUUAAUAAUAAUAAUAACAAUAAUAAUAAUAAUAAUAAUAAUAAUAAUAACAAUAACAAUAAUAAUAAUAAUAAUAAAAGAGUAAAGCAUUAUGUACCCCCAUGAACUAUGACCAAAUUUUCUACGAUACACUCCAAAUUCACAAGGGUCCUAUUACCCUCCUAAACUCAAUUUUAGUGCAUUUUUAUCACUCUUUUUAGCUGUUAUGGUAUUUUUUAGUUGACGUAGCACCUUUAAUAUAGACCCCAUUUUUAUGUAAUAAAGGUGUCAUGUUAGCACAAGAGGGUGACAAAAAUAUGCUAAAAUUAAGUUCAGGGAGUAAUAGGACCCAUGUGAAGUUGGAGUGUGUCGUACCAACUUUGGCCAUAGUUCGAGGUGGUACUGGAAGCUUAUCUAUUAAUAAAAUAAACAAAAUCAUUAUUCUCUAUGUAAAUAAAAUUAACAACACGUAAUAUAUUAUUUAAAAUCGACGACAAUAAUAAUUUAAAAUAAAAUAGACACCCAUAGAUUAUAAAUACAAAAUUUAAAAUUCAUGUAAUAAUAAUGAUAAUAAUAAUAUAGUCUAGGUGCUUAUAAAUUAUGAGUAUAUUUACGAAAAAAAUUUAAAUAACUGUUGAAAAUAUAAUAUUUAAAUUAAUGAAUUAUAUAAAAUAUAAACUUAAAUAAAUUGAAUACUUCAAAAUCAUGAAUAUGACACGUCAAUAUUUAUUUGAUACCAAAAUAAUGCAUAAAAGUAUUAAUAUUCGAAAUUAAUAGUUUUUGGUAAAAUAGCAGCCUAGGAGGCAUAUCAGGAGGUUAAAAUUGGAUGUCAACAGCUGUCCCUUUGUUGCUUGAGAAUGAUAAAUGAAUUGUUGAGAAACAAAAGUUGACAUAGUAGCUAAUUUUGUCCGACCGAGAAAAAUGAUUUGUUACAAUUGAAGCAACAAAAGGUGGCUUUAAAAUAGUCUGGCCAAGACUUUGGUUUUUAAGUCGUCUACAUAUCUCUGGUGUUACGAGAAUCAGACCAUGUGUAGUUCAAGAUUUAGGAAUAAAUGAGAUUUCUAAAGAAAUUGACGAAUGUGGAAUUUAAAUAAGGAUAGUACGAAUAUAAAAGAUUAGAGUAUUACUUGUUUUGGAAUGUGGAAUGUAAAUAUGAUUUAGGACAUAGGGAUAAAGAAUUAUUUUUCAAAAGUGGGAGAGAGAUCAAAAAUUUAAUAGUAGCUUAGAUAAGGUUCAGCGAGAAAUCCACUGCCGUGUUAAGGUUAUACAAGGAACCCCAUGUCGAAUGUCAUUUUAAGGUUCUACAAGAAACCCUAUGAAUGUCGUUGUAAGGUUCUACAAGGAACCCCAUGAAUGUCAUUUUAAGGUUCUACAAGGAAACUAAUCUGAAAUGUUGUUUUAAGGUUCACAAGGAAUUCGAUGUCAAAUGUUGUUUUAAGGUUCUACAAGGAACCCAAUGUCAAGUGUCAUUUUAAGGUUCAGUUAUGAAUCCAAUGCUAAAUGUCAUUUUAAGAUUCGAUUGAGAGUGCAAUGUUAAAUAUUGUUUUAAGGAUCUACAAGGAACCCAAUAUCAAAUGUCCUUUUAAGGUUCUACGAGGAACCCAAUGUCAAAUGUCCUUUUAAGGUUCUACAAGGAACCUAAUGCCAAAUGUUUUUUAUAAAGUUUGAUUAGAAACCCAAUGUCAAAUGUCGUAUUAAGGUCCGGUUGGGAGCCCAAUGUCAAAUGUCAAUUUAAGGUUCUAUAAGGAACCCAAUGUCAAAUGUCGUUUUAAGGUUCUACAAGGAACCCAAUCUCGAAUGUUCUUUUAAGGUUCUACAAGGAACCCAAUGUCGAAUGUUGUUUUAAGGUUAUACAAAAAACCCAAUAUUGAGUUUAACAUAUAAUUAUUAAUGAAAUAUAAUGUCAAUUUUGAUGUUGUUAGAGUUAAAAGAUAGAAUAACUUAGUGCCAUUCCCCUAUUAGGGAUGUAGUUUGGCUUCCUUGAUGAUUUUGUAAGGUUGUUGCUACAUUUGUACCUGUUGUCUGCACUUAAAGUAAAAUUGCCAGUUUAAAAGUACUAUUGAUUCAUACCUUGGCUUAGUUCAACUUUUUGUCAUUGCUUUUAUUUCAUGGAUUGUUAGAUUGGCACUCCAUUAUGGUGAAAUUUUUGAGGAAUCCUAACAAAUUUCUGCAAGAUUUUUGGAUAAAAGGACAGCUUUUUCACUCCUUGUGAAUCAAUAUAUUGUUUUCUUGUGGAAUUUUUGAGGUUUUCUCAAAACCUCAAAAAUUAUGCCCAGUUUUUACUUUUGAAGUCUUAUAUUCCUGCUUCAUUCAAACAAAAUAUUAGUUCAAGAGAAAUGGUUGUCCUAUAUUUGAACAUCGUGAUCCCAAUUUAAAUCUGCCUUUAUAUGCUCAAGAGUUGGGCUUACUACUCUGAUACUUUAGAUAUAUAAGAAUUUGAGAAGAGUUUUUUAAAUUAGACAUAGAGGGGAAAUAAAAUUUUUAUUAGAUUAAGACCAGACCUGAAGUGGGAUGCCUACGUAUCCAAAUGGAAGUGAGGUAAAACAUAGUUAAUGAAUACAAAGAAAAGGUAGAUAAAAUAGUAAAAUGUUAUUAGCUAUAAGGAGGAUGAAUAAAUAAUGAUGACAUUUUGCUUGUGACUAUGAUGGACUAUCCUUAUCAGUCCAUGUGAUGUGUUUUACGUUUUUUUCAUGAACAUAUUGGAAAUAUUUUCGUCGGAUCACCUUGAACAAAGAGUUUGCCCAUAGUGACGGGAUCAGAGGUGUUGGUUAUCAGGACUUGUUGAAAGUUUAUCAUUUUCUUUUUAAUUAGAUUCUGGAUCUUGUACCUUAGUGCCGAGCAUUCCUUAAUAUCUUGACCUUGAAUAUUCGAGUAAUAUGUACAAUUUUUAGUUGAAUCAAAUUAAGGAGGUGGAUGCACAUGGAUCCAUCCACUCUUUGGUUAUAUAAUACCUUGGUCCCUAGUAUUUCAAAUAUGUUCACCAAGGAUUUAACCAAAGGAGUAAAGGUAAGAGGCCUUAUUCUCUUUGGUUGAUGAAAAACACCUUGUACUUGGUAAUGCCUAUGUUGAAAGUUGGGUUCUAUAUUAAAAGCCUUAUUAUGAAAAUCUUGAUGGAAAGAGUAGGGUUGAAUCUGUUAAGCCUCGUUUUGAGAAUUUUGUGAUUAAUAAGGUUCAAGAUGCACAUCACAAGAACCAAAAACAACACAAGACUCCUCAUUAUUCUAAUAACUAUCUUUUUGAGGUAUGGAGGGUGAUGAAUCCUCUUCUUUUUCCUUUGAUGGACUCUUUGGUGUUUGAAAAGUUUCUGGUAUUAUAGAAACAUCAAUAAUCCUCCUAGUUCAAAUUCCAUACUCUAAUUUUUUUUCCAAUUGAAAUCAGACUCUCAAAACCAUAACAGCCUAAGAAGAACAAUUUUUAGAAGUAUACUCCAUCUAGUGAUCUGAUAAAGUUUGGACAAACUCUUCUUCAGGUAUAGAAAGUUGUAUCUUAGAGGCUUCCAACCUCCUUCACAUUGCAUAUUCCUCAAAAUAUCCAUGGUUCAUUCUCUUUAUCUUGAGUUAAUCUCAUAUUGUUGGACCAACAUUGAUAUUAAACUUAUAUUGUCCCACAAAAUCUUGAGCCACAUCUUCACAUGUAUGCCAUUUGUCAAAAUCUUGUUUGGCAAACGAGGUGAACGCCAUUCCUGACAACCUUUGAAUUAAAAAUCUCAUUAGAAGAGCCUCAUCAUGUCCUAUGCCAACUAGUCUUCCAAAAUAGUCCUUGAGAUAUGUGAUCGGGUCUCUAUGUCUAUCAAAUAUGUUGAACUUUUGAACUUUGUAUCCCGGAGGUAACACAACCCUUGAACAUACACAUGGUUUCUUAUACCUCAAGCCGUGAAUACCUUUAGAAUGUAGUUUCUCUUCUAACCUUUUUUCUAAGUCACAAAGCUUUUGUCGACGUGCAUCCAAAUCAAUUCUCUCACUUUUAAAAGUGCUACGUGCUGAAAGAAACUAUUGAGAGGGUGUGUGAGUAAGGUGAGGAUAAGAAGGCACAGUCUAAAUAGCGUUUUUUCUUGGUCGAGGAGAAAAAGGGUUGAAAUUUUUUUGGAUAUUGAACAUAUUUGUCAUAUUGCAGAUUUUUAAUUGAGUCGGUUCAAUUUCUAGACAACCUUUAAAUAAAAAAUAGUAAAUCAUACAAAAAAAGAGUCAGUGUGGCAAUAAGAGAAUAGAUAGUAUAAAAAUAUGACUCAUAUUGUCAAAGAGGACUUUAAGGCGAAUAGGUAGGCUAGAACUUAAGCUUUAAAAGCAAACGGAGAUCAAAAGAUAGAGAUAGACUCUAAGAAUUUUUCAACCCGAAUGACAUGAACUUGAAGUAGUAAACCCAAUAGGAAAAGAUAUAGUAUGACUAUAUGAGUUACAUUGUCAAAUAAGACUUUACGACAAAUGGUUGGGUUAGAACAUAAGCUUGAGAAAUGAUUUGAUAUAAAAAAAGAGAAGAUAGGCUUAAGAAAGACCUAGGUACUCAGUUUGCACUUAAAGAUACUUAAAAGAUGCACAUGUAAUAUUUAAGGAAAUUUCAUUCGAAAGAAAUGAAAGGAUUAGAGAUUUGAAAAGUUUUAACAAUUUUGAAGAAUUUACUCUACUGACAUUUAGUUUGAAACAUUUGAGAAUUUGAAAGACUAUAACAAUUAUUUGAAUAAUUCCAAAAGGUUCUACUUUUCACCCUUAUGACAUUAUGGAAAGACAAAAAAAGGAAAAUAUGAUUUGAUAGAAAAACUAUUUGAGACAUUUUUAAAUACUAGGAUAUUUUGUAAAGAAAAGGGAAAAGGAAGACCACAUCCUUAGAAAGGAUUGCCCAUGUAUCUUGUUAGAAUAAGAUCAGGUCAGCCAUAGUUCAGAAUCCGAGACUUAUAUAAUAGAUAUAGAUGGAUUAUGGAUGAAAUAAUCAAGGUAAGUUAUCAAAUACAAAUGUAAGAACAAAUUAAGAAACAAAUUCGAUAUAUGCAUAUAAAUUAUGAAGACACCCUAGAUUUAUCAGAAUUCAUAUUUCAUAGUAAAAAAAAUAUAUGAUUGAGCUUUAGAGAACAAGAGUGGUUUUUUGAAUAGGUUUCCUCAAGAAGACAACUUGAGAGCGGAAAAGCUAAAGAUUGUCGAUGCACCGCUGAUCUAUCGAUUCACGAGGCAUUUUCCAUAGUACGUUUUAGGAAUGAAUGUUCGUCCAAGCGCACAACCAUUCUUUAAAAUAAAAUAAAAUGAGGUUUCCAAGUGGAGGAAGAUAAAAGCGGAAUGACAGAUAUGAAAAAAGUAACAUAUAGCACAUAAAAACAAAACACAUUAAGCAAUAUAAAUUCAAAAUUAAAGCUAUAACAAAAAUAUAAGACAACACAUAAUCAAUCAAACGAAAAAAAGAAGAAGGGGGUGAAUAUGGAGAAAUAUAUAACUGUACAAAAGAAAAAAUAAGGAAAAACAGAAGGGGACUAAUAUAUAGAAAUGAAAAAUCAUAAUGCUAAAGAUAAAUAAUUAUGGAGACACACAGACAUUAAAAUAAAGUUCAGAAAAAUAAAAAGAAUUCCACAUAAAACACAAAUUCAUAAUGGUUAGAACCUAAGUCUACCCAACAUUUUCACCAUGCUGGCACCCCAUUUUUCUCAUGAAAAGUGAGAUUCGACAUGACAAUUCUUUUUAAAGCUAUUUAAAGAGUGAGAGUCGUCACCUAAUGAAUUCAGAUGUAUUCGGGCACCAUUUUAUUAUAAAUAUAUUUUAUUAUUUUAUCUGUUUCAUCAGAAAUUUGAGUAAGGGUUCAAAUUAUCUCAAAUGAAGGUGAUAGGAACCUUUUGAGUCCACAAAUAUGGAUCCCAACCAAAUUUAUAUAUUACACAAAAAUUCUACGUGAUAAGAAAAUAUCAACUAUUUUAUUAUCUUAACGUUACUAAGUAAAGAAAAAUAACAAAUAAAUAAGUCAUUUAUCUUAAUUAUCUUUUAAUCAUCAAUUAUUUAGGUGAUAAAUAAAAAGCAAGAUAUGAAUCAAAUAAGCAAGGAGACAGAAGUGACAUAGUCAAUAUAACAAAAUAUUUAUUAAAUAAUAGAAUCUAAGCUACCCUAAAUAAUUAAAACAUUAAAAGUAAAUAAAAGGGAACAAAUAUGAGAGGUUGGACAAGGAUUUAUUAUUUUUAAUUAUUCAGAUCAAUGUCUGGCUUAUUAACGGGUGAAAAUGUCAUAUGUCGCUUUGUUGGAUUAUACUCGGGUCAAAUUUCAUCAUUUUUUAAUGCCUACCCCCACUUAAUUUGUUUAUUAAACUUAGAGUGUUCUAAAAAUGAUAAAAACUAGUGUUUACUAAGAUGUCUACCCGUCCCAACUUAAUAUCUAAGAGACGUUUGGUCUUUCUACCUUUGGAUUUGGUCUUGAAAAAAGAAAGCAAGGCUACCUAAUUAGACUUAAGGUUCGCGUCAAGCAAAACAUAUUGGACAAACAAGUAGCACAUAAUGGUUUCAAAUAAGCCUCUUGAUUAAUUACUGGUUGAUUUGGUGAUUCACAUACAAAACAAGCAAUUUUCCAUUUUUUUUUGUAAAAUUAGGCUUAUAGGCAUGAUACUAAGUGACAAAAGACAGCGAAACAAUUUACAAAUUUAAGAGUAUUUUUAAUAAGGACAUAAAGAAAUCAUUAAGAUCGAAAAUUAUCUAAAUAAAAAUUACCCAAUUAACAUGUCAAAAUUCACAUAGUUCAAAGGCAUGUUGAAAUUGAUUAAUAUGUCAAUUAAAGGUGAUAAAGCUGAAAUUUAGUUGAAUAGAAGCUAAAUAAAAUAUUGCUAGGAUUAUAUUUAAUUGCCGGAGAAAUAAUUUUAGUGUUGUGAAUUAAUAGGCAUGCUGGAAAUUGCUAAACACAUAAUUUUUUAUUGUUGAAAAUUGAUAAAAAUAGGCUGGAAAUUAGUUUUUCAAUGCUGAAACUGACAUUUUAUACUACAAAAAAAUAUUCAAACACUGGGACUCAUUUUUAUUACAGAAAAGCAUGAGACUGAUUUCUUUAUUGCUGAAAAAUAUUAAAACUGAUUUUUUAUUGUUAUUGUAGAAAAUUCUUUAUAGGCCGGGACUUAAGAUUUAGUUCUUAUAAAUGCUGUAAAAAUAUUCUGAAACUCAAGACCAAAUGUUUGAAAAUAAAUUUAACAUAUCAAAAAUUAAUUAAUGCAGUAUAAGUUAAUUCGACAUGCUUGAAGUUGAUUUAAUAAAGUUAAUUAUUAAUCUUAAAAUAUGCUUAGUAGGUAGCAAAUAAAUUAAUUAAUAAAUCCUAGAAUGUUUUGCCCAAGUGAUUCACAUAAGCAUAUAAUUCACAUAAUCCCCGCCCCCAUAAGUAGUCCCCAUAAUUUUCACUAUGUAUGCCAAAUGUUUGUACAAUAAAUUAUUACAGACGUGAAUAAAAGAUAAAUAAAUAGUGAAUAAGGCUAGAUAUUUCUAGACGCAGUAACUUUCUAGCACAACCCGAUCAUAGUACUUGGUCAAACUCAACAAAAUACACUAACGCAAACCAGCCGCACUAUGUAUGUAUUCUCAUGUUGCUUAAGUAAAAGAUUCAAUAAAAAAGGACACCAAUCACUUAGAGAUAGCACAAUAAGCAAUUCAAGUAGUCACAAAGGCUAUUACAUGUCAUCAUUUAAAGAGCUAAGGAAUGCAGGAGACUAAAAGUAUAUAAGAAAACUAACUGAUUAAGAAAAGUAAUACAAGAAUUAAAAGAAGUAAAAUUCGAACACAAAUAUUAUAGUCAAGUACCAAAUAAAAUCAAAAAAUUGAACCAGCAUUUUUGAAAGCCAAGAGUAGAAUAUUCUUUUUUUUUUGUAUAGAGAUUUAUGAGAGGAAAAACAGUCCCAAGAAUGAAGGGAGGCUACUAAUUAUAUAGUAUGAAAUGAAUCAUGUUAAAUUCGUUGUUUUGCUGGUCGGCUGAGGAAAAGGCUGUCGGAACUUGCUUCUUAGCGCUACGUGGGAAGCGGAAAGCUCAAGUGAAAACCUAUUAGAACUGUGAGCCUCACACUUCUUAAUCAUCCUUCAUUUCACUAAUUCGUAUUAACCGCCCUGGUUCAAAUACCAUUUUAUCCGGCUUGAGUUGGAUUAAAAGCACGAAAUGUAUUUGCACGCCAGGUCAGUCAACUUCUAUUGGGACUUCUAUUGAUUAUUAAUUCGACUUAGCCAAAGAAAAAAAAAACAUUUGAUAAAAUUAGUCAUUGAAAUUUUUUCCAUAAACACUCAUACCAAUUAAUUAUAUGAUAGAUUAUGUGAAUUCAGCCAAAGCAAUAAAAGAAAAACAAAAUAUUUUGAAUAACCAAUCAAUGAAAAUUUCCUUGAAUAAUUAUUAAGAUAAUUUCUACAUCAAUUAAUAGUGAGAUCACAUGUAAAAAUUCAAUCAAAGCAAUAAAAGAAAAAGAAAAUAUUUUGAAUAACCAAUCAACAAAAAUUUCCUUCAAUAAACAUGAAAAUCCAAAUAACAUAGUAUUGAAUUCAAAUUAAUAGCAGAGAAGGGAGAAAAUUAUACUUGUUAAGCACCUUGUCACACACCAAAUAAAAAGGAAAAAAUCCAACUAAAGCAGAAACUACCUCAAUUAGUUAUAUACCAACAAUAACAACAAACCCAUUAUAUUCCCAUAUCGUGGGGUCUGGAGAGGGGAGAAUGUACGCAGUCCAUACCACUACCUCCAAAGAAGUAGAGAGGCUAUUUUCGAUAGACCCCAGGCACAGCAAAAGGACAAUAUACAAAAAAAACAUCCAAGGCAUGGGACAUAAUAAAAUAACAUAUGCACGACAUUCCCAAAAAUAUUGAACAUUACCAGAACCAAAGCCCUCCUAACUACUGCCUACUCUCCCACACAGCUUUGUAACGCCCUGAGAUCCCAUCUCAGGACGUCACACGGUGCUUAUGAUCGCGAAGGACCACAAGCUAACCCUUUACUAAUAUCUGUACCUGUGCACUGCAUAAUAUCUAGAAAAAAUAUGAAAACUAACCAUAAGGCUGAACACAUCUAUACAUACUCAAAACUGAAAACUGAAUACUAAUAUAUCCGUCUGAAAAGCCUCUAAAGUAUCUGAACUGUGGAUUUGAUGGGAUAUGUUGCCAACUAACUUCGUCUAUUGAAAAUAUAAACAAAGUAUGAUGCCAUAAUAGUAAACUGAGAUUCUUCCUUGAAAGAAGAGGACUCACUGCUACGACUAUUGCUGCUGACUGGGACUGAACUGCUAAAGAAACUGUGGGUCCUGUGCCUCUGAACCUAUGGUGCCAAAUAAAACACCAUAGCGCAAAUGCGUCAAUACAGGGAUGUACUAAGUAUGUAGACGGGGUAGGGCUAAAUGCAAGGGUUCAUGCAUGCACAAUAUCUAAACUGAAUGAUCAUGAAAAUGUCGCACAAGAAUACAUACAUGAAUGCACAGGCCAUAAUCACAAUCAUCACAACUCUAAAUACUGAAACUCGGAUACCACUUUACUGUAGACUGAACUCACUACUGACACAAAGAUACUGAAUCACUGACUCAUCUGAUACUGAUAACCAACGAUCUGGAUGCACUUAUAUCAAGGACUGAAUUUUGAGCUUUAUUGCUUUCGACUGACAAGAUUAAAGAUCAACCUCUCUAACGGAUGAUUUCCAAAACUAUUAUCAAUGAUAAAAAAUAUGAAUAUAUCUGAAUCUGACAACAAGGAUACUCAAUAGAAUCUGAAACUGUAAAUCAAGCUUGUCUGGCGGUAUAUCUUUGACUAUGAUAUCAAAUAACUAUAUAUGAGACCAAGCCUAUCUGACGGGAUUGUCCAUAAAUUAAUGGAACUAUCUGAGUUCCUCAUAAAGAUAGAUGACUGUAUUUGAAAGUCCUAAUUUCUAAAGAUUGAUAUUGAAACUGAAACUGUAAUUGUGGGAAGUAGUUACUUAACCGACAUGCCCCAACCUACCAUAGGUGGGGUCCAACCUAUAACCCCAUCUGUAAGGGUGUCAAUAUCGUGCCACAAGUAAAUACCUCUCUAUAGUCAAUCCUCUUUGAUGGAUGACCCUUACCAGGCAGUAGACCUAAGGCAAUAUAAUAGAUAAAUACUCUCUCUUUGGAGGUGAUAGCCUUUUCCUAAUGGUGACUCCUGUAUCCUGUUCUGGCUAUGUAGUUCUGGAGGUUAUGGAUUGAUACUAACGAAUUUUGCCUCUCUCGCUGACGGGAGUAGCUGCCAUCCCUUUUCUCGCUCGGUGCUAGUUUCUACUCCCAACUGAAAGACGCUGAACUAAAUUCUUAACUGAACACAACUGAUCUGAACCUGAUACAAAUUAUGUUUAUCAAAAUAUAUGACUGAGCUACGUUGAGAUCACUUAGUUCCAUAUUUGAUGAAAAUGGUAUUGAAUCAUGGUAUCUGACUGACGAUACAGAGCUUGAAUAGAUUAUGAUUACUCAAAUUAUUUAUGAGAUUAGAAUUGAACACUUGAAUACUCUUAGAUUUGAGUUGAUUACAGGACUGAGGCUAGAUUACUAGCGAUACAGAGAUUACAAAGAUAACUAAGAUUACUGAGCUUUAUUAAGUUCUGCAAUUUUCUGAGGAUACAGAGUUCUAUAGUUCACUGAGUUUUGAGAAUCAUAGCUCGACUGGAAUUAUUGUAAAACUGACACGGGCUCUAGACAACAGCGAAAUUGUUGGGUAUAAAUACCCCCGGACUCGAUAACAUAAAAUAAAGCAUAAUCAUUCCUCCAUCAUCNNNNNNNNNNNNNNNNNNNNNNNNNNNNNNNNNNNNNNNNNNNNNNNNNNNNNNNNNNNNNNNNNNNNNNNNNNNNNNNNNNNNNNNNNNNNNNNNNNNNNNNNNNNNNNNNNNNNNNNNNNNNNNNNNNNNNNNNNNNNNNNNNNNNNNNNNNNNNNNNNNNNNNNNNNNNNNNNNNNNNNNNNNNNNNNNNNNNNNNNNNNNNNNNNNNNNNNNNNNNNNNNNNNNNNNNNNNNNNNNNNNNNNNNNNNNNNNNNNNNNNNNNNNNNNNNNNNNNNNNNNNNNNNNNNNNNNNNNNNNNNNNNNNNNNNNNNNNNNNNNNNNNNNNNNNNNNNNNNNNNNNNNNNNNNNNNNNNNNNNNNNNNNNNNNNNNNNNNNNNNNNNNNNNNNNNNNNNNNNNNNNNNNNNNNNNNNNNNNNNNNNNNNNNNNNNNNNNNNNNNNNNNNNNNNNNNNNNNNNNNNNNNNNNNNNNNNNNNNNNNNNNNNNNNNNNNNNNNNNNNNNNNNNNNNNNNNNNNNNNNNNNNNNNNNNNNNNNNNNNNNNNNNNNNNNNNNNNNNNNNNNNNNNNNNNNNNNNNNNNNNNNNNNNNNNNNNNNNNNNNNNNNNNNNNNNNNNNNNNNNNNNNNNNNNNNNNNNNNNNNNNNNNNNNNNNNNNNNNNNNNNNNNNNNNNNNNNNNNNNNNNNNNNNNNNNNNNNNNNNNNNNNNNNNNNNNNNNNNNNNNNNNNNNNNNNNNNNNNNNNNNNNNNNNNNNNNNNNNNNNNNNNNNNNNNNNNNNNNNNNNNNNNNNNNNNNNNNNNNNNNNNNNNNNNNNNNNNNNNNNNNNNNNNNNNNNNNNNNNNNNNNNNNNNNNNNNNNNNNNNNNNNNNNNNNNNNNNNNNNNNNNNNNNNNNNNNNNNNNNNNNNNNNNNNNNNNNNNNNNNNNNNNNNNNNNNNNNNNNNNNNNNNNNNNNNNNNNNNNNNNNNNNNNNNNNNNNNNNNNNNNNNNNNNNNNNNNNNNNNCAUCCCCCGAGGGAACUGGACAUGAUAAUUUUUAAUCAUCUAGCUUGAGCAAGAAUAAAAAAACCAAAUGAAUCCAUAUAUCCAUAUAAAAUAUAUAUACAUAUAUACGGUACCUGUCUUUACACAUCCACAUAUAUGAUAGAGGAAUGGUUCAAUGUAAGAAAAAUUUGACUGAAUUCUUUUUUAUGGAAUUGCAACUAUCCAUUACAAAACAAAGAAUUCCGUUCUUACAAGUAAAUACUCAAGACCCGAGUAGGCUUACAAAUCAGAUCAUGAUAUGAUCAAGUGCUUUCUCGGUCAUCUCAGACCUUCUAAUUGGUAUUUAUCUCCAAAAUGCUUGGAGAUACACAUACAAGGUUUGCUUGUUACUAAUAUAGUCUAGCCUCUCUUCUUCUUUAGAUCCCUUGUUUCACUCCGAUAGUAGUAUUGAUCGUGUCAAUGCAGAGGAAAUGAAUACAUUUAAAUACUAUUAAAUCUUAUAAGUGAACUAGAUAAAAUGGAUUCAAGAUUCUGUUUUAUCUAGUCCACUUAUACUGGACCUUACGGAGCCUACUCAUGUACAACAUGAUUUGGACCUGAUCAUAGAAAAGAUUCCCUUUAAGCGAA